GCAUAUGUUUGUCAUUCUUUGGCAGUAAGCCGUUGAGGCAGUGUCUGUCCAUUGCUAAGUCGGUAAGCACGGUAACCCGGCAAAGAAUUUUCAUUAGCAGGAGCGGUGUUCUGACAGUAGAACCAUGUUUGAUUCAAUCCUUGGGGUGGCUGUGAUGUUUGGCAUGAGGAAAAUCGACUUCUUUCCUUUUCUGAAUCGAUACUCCGCCAAGUUCAGUAUUGGGGCCGUCAGAAGAUUCAGUGUGGCGGUUCAUAUGGAAGAAGUCACUGAAGAGUUCAACAGUCGGUUCUUCUUGAAGGUAAACUUCACAGUACACCUGGAAAUUGCAGAUGUUGGACACGGAGUUCGGUCCAAUGUCUUGAGGAUGGAGUUGGAAGUUGGCAAGUACAUCCCAGAAAUUUUUUGAUCCGAGAGGGCUAAACCCUCGGUCCAAAUGCUGCAUAAACACAACCACUUCUCCAUCUUGAGGUUCAGGAGGGUUUUCGGCACCAGGGACUCUCCAAUGAAUGACUUCCUUUUUUGUCAAAGCGCCAGUUAGGACAUAUCCAGUGAGUUGUUCUUCUGUGAUCUGGGAGGGAACCCAAUUGCAAGAAGAGAAUUGUUUGGCCAUUUUUUGAUGACAAACUGUAAAGGAAGUGAAAAUGCCGGCUCAUGGUUCAAGAUUGAUAUGCACAAACUGGUAUCAAACCGGAGAAUUUAAUCAAAGCAUGUGUGUACAUUAAACCGGAGAUGGAUGUUUAAGGACAGAUGGUGGUUUAUGAGAGGGCUAAUGGUACGUGCCGGAUUGUCGUUUUCUACAGGUUAAACCGCCUACAGUGGCACGAAGGGCAACAGAUCUGAAAAAUACUAAGUGCUAUAUAAACAGGUUUCACAAGCUCAGGAUUGUUAUUUUGGAUCUAACACAGUUCAGGAAAAGGAAAAAUAUCAAAGCCAUAAAAUGGCGACAGCGGAGCAGAAAGGGUCCAGAUGGGGUCUGUUCAUAGUUUAAAGGAUACUAUGGUGAGGCGAAGCAAACUAUAGCUUCGUCCGCAGGAGAAAAUGGUCAAGUUGAUCUAGAUUUGAUGAGACAGUAAGGGCAAAAGUAUGAGCACGGAUGAACACUGAUGAACACAGACGAGCACUGAAACCCUAAUGCAGAUCUAGGGUUGAGGGAAGAAGGCUUACCGGAUUCACAGGAGUAGCGGAGGAGAACCGCGGAUCUCUGGUGCGCUCAGGUUGAUGCAGCGGCCAGGGAUGAUGCAGUGAUUGAAGGUCGACGGCGGCGGCAGAGCUGUCGGGCUUGAGCGUUGAGAGGAAGAAGAAGAAGUGUGGAAGGGGAAAAGGGAAGGACCCCUGAGCCUAUUUAUAAGGCGAAUGGAUAAAGUACGCAAGCGCGAGAAUCGAGGAGCCCAAAGCGGUAAAAUGGGGCACAGCUGUCGCCUUGAUCUUUAGAAGUUAAUUAAUGAAAGGAAUCUUUAUAACCGUUUUUAUAAAGAGAUGACGUCAUGACGAUUUACUGCAAUUUCAGAAGAUGAUGUUAUGGCGGUUUAUUAAAGCUCGCAGGGAGAAGAUAUUAUGGCGGUUUACGAGGAUCAUAACAAGAUGUUUAGGGAAUUUUUCUAAGUAUUGAAGAUUGACAUGAACAGGUUCAAAUCAAUCUGGGGCCUAAUGUUGGGGACAUAACUACUGAGUGUAAACCGCCCAGGAGGGGCCGGUUCAUGCUCAUCUAUAUUGAAGCCCAUGAAGACAAGGAAUAUGGCGCUCUACUGUUACAGCUUAAGAGGCCUGGAGCCCAGAGGCGGAUUAGGGCCCAUAGUAGUAACCGCCAUAGUUGUAUAACUUGUAUUAUAAGUUAGGGAAAGGAAGAGACCGAUUCGGACACUUGUAUGAGCCGGCCUCGGGACUCUGUAAACCGGCCGGGCGUCAACCUGUGUAUAUAAAAGGACGACCCGGCGGCGAUUCAGGGACAAGAAACAACAGCUCAAGAGAUAGGUAAAGCGGAUUCGCUCCCUGCUCAUCGAGAUCAAUCAAUCCCACAACAACUGGAUCGUAGGCUUUUACCUUCACCACAAGGGGCCGAACCAGUAUAAACUUCCCGUGUCCUUUGUUCCAGUUUAACCCCUUUAAGCUAAUCUCGUUGCGAUGGCUCCACGACUAAGUCCUUCUGCUAGGACAUCUGACGUGUUAAUUCCGUGACAGGAUUGGAGUAUAUAAACACAAUUGGAGACACAGAUGUUUUUGGCGUGUUUCUGAUAGGUGGUGCUAUCGUACAUCCACGUUGAUGGAGACUUCAACCCACGAAGGGUAACGGUUUCGCGAGUCCACGGAGGGCUCAACCCAUGAGGGGUCCACAAAGAAGCAACAUUGUCUAUCUCACCAUGGCCAUCGCCCAUGAAGGACUUUCCUCACUAGGGUAGAUCUUCACGAAGUAGGCGAUCUCCUUGCCCUUACAAACUCCUUGGUUCAACUCCACAAUCUUGUCGGAGGCUCCCAAGUGACACCUAACCAAUCUAGGAGACACCACUCUCCAAAAGGUGAUAGAUGUUGUGUUGUUGAUGAACUCCUUGCUCUUGUGCUUCAACUGAUAGUCUCCCCAACACUCAACUCACUCUCAUAGGAUUGGAUUUGGUGGAAAGAUGAUUUGAGUGGAAAGCAACUUGGGGAAGGCUAGAGAUCAAGAUUCAUAUGGUUGGAUUGGAAUAUCUUGGCCUCAACACAUGAGUAGGUGGUUCUCUCUUAGAAAAUGAAUGCAGGAAGUAUAGGCACGUUCUGAUGGCUUCCCUCACGAAUGAGGAGAGGGUGGAGGGGUAUAUAUAGCCUCCACACAAAAUCUAACUAUUACACACAAUUCACCAAACUCGGUGGGACCGAAUCAAAAACUCGGUCAGACCGAUUUAGUUCAUAAUGUGACCGUUAGGCAUUUCGGUGGGACCGACACGUCAAUUCAGUGGGACCGAUAUCAUUAGGGUUAGGGCAUAACGUAAUCUCAGUUUGACCGAUUACACAAACUAGGUUGGACCGACUUUGCUAAUAAGCAAACCAGGGAGUUGGUCAGGCAAACUCGGUGGGACCAAUUCGCUCGUCUCGAUGGGACCGAAGCGUUACGAAAAGGAAACAUGGAGUUUGCAUUGGAGACUCGGUGGGACUAAUCGCUCAUCUCGGUUAGACCGAAACGUUACAAAGGGAAAUAGAGAGUUUGCAAUCCCAUCUCGGUGAGACCGAGAUCCCUAUCGGUUAGACCGAAGUGACUAGGGUUUCUGGCAGUGGCUAUGUCAAAUAAACUCGGUGGCGCCGGAUAGAUCAAAUCGGUGGCGCUGAGUUUGACUUUUGGUUUGGGACAUAUGUGCAUAUGAGAAAGUGGUUGUGGGCUUUUGGAGCAUAUCACUAAGCAUUUUGAGCAAGCAAGCCAUUAAGGAACAUCUCAUCCCCUUUUAAUAGUAUUGGCUUUCCUAUAGACUCAAUGUGAUCUUGGAUCACUGAAAUAGAAAAUGUAGAGUCUUGAACUUUAGAGCUUGAGCCAAUCUUUUGUCCUUAGCAUUUUGAGGGGUCCACAUUCCUAAUCCAUGCCAUGCCAAUCAUUGAACUUUUUUGAAAUAUUUAUCUUGAAAUAACAUCAGUUCAGUGAGCUAUAUGUUGUUAAUCAUUACCAAAACCACCCAGGGAUAGUUGCACUUUCACAAUGAAACAAGGUGGCUUGCAACAUGGACUUAGAAGAUAUUAAUUUUUGCCUUGGUACCUGUAAUAUGGGUUUGUGGCCUUGUAUACAAAAAUGGAGUCCGAUAAAAUUCUUGAGAUACCAUUUUUCUGAUAAAAUUCUCGAGAUAUCAUUAGUUUUUACAAAUAGGAUUACUCCUGCAUGGGUCAAUCAAAACAGGUAUUUUGUAAAAAAUGCAUCUUGAUGUUCCGUGCAAUGCACAGGCAUCUUGCUAGUCCAUGAAAACAUCACAUGGCAAAAUUCCACGGCGAACGAGGGAUUUGAAUCUGCUUGGAGGGGCUGUUUGGAUCUUGCCGGGGUAGACAAAAUAUUAGCGAUCCUUUUGUCCUCCUAUUUAUUUAUUAUCUAUGUUACGCCAGAUGUUCUAUGGAUACAAGCUAUUUAAUGUUCCAAACGCAAAUUUUGGGUGCCUUUUCCACUGAUGAACGAGGAAUGGUUCGGGUGCUCAUGCAUCCUCUAGCGCGCAUGUUGGAGACGAGCUCGAAUGAGCUAUGUUUUUUGUCUCACCACGCCGCAUGAGCUGCCCGCAGAGCGACCUGCGACGCACAUAUUACGCCAUCCAACCGUAGCCGCACACAAACCAAACGAAAUUCAUGCAAACACUGCGAUAUUUCAUACAAACAACGACGGAAAUCAUAUAAAAUACCGGAUUUUCAUAGAAACAUGACGGAUUUCAUUACAUUCAAAUGAACUACACGGUGCUAGUUCUGGACAGCACAGGUAUAGAAUACCUGGCCUAAAUGGUCGCCUCCGAUCCAUUUGUGUUCCUCGCGUCUGGCAGCAUGAUCACCGGACUACUGGGAGCGCCGGAGGUAUAUGCUUCAGUGCAAAGGAUGGCUCGCUUCCCCACUGCCCAACUGAUAUCAUUGGCUGAUGACCAAGAUGAUGGUGGAAGGGGGCUUCCCCGCUUCCGUGGAGCCCAUGCGGGGUCAACGAAGGUCCUCGCAACAAAAGGAUCCGGCAAGACACCUGUUGUGUACGCUGGUGUCGCCUCCGCGGUGGCCUUCAUGGGACCCAAGCGGCGGCGGCCUCCCGUGUUCUACUUCUCCUCGAUGAUGGUGGCGGACGCGGAGGCGCUGGCCACCGACUCGUCGCUCUCCGUGCACCCAGCUUCUUUCGCUGCUUGCAUGAUGCGGCCGCCGGCAUGGGAGUCUCGGCCACAGAAACGGGUGACGCGGUACGAGGUGUCGGCGUGGACGGCAGGAACGAUGCCCGUGCGCUCCUCCUCGUCGAGUUGGCCUCGAGCGACGAGUUGCUGAACCGCGCGCCGGCUUGGGGCGGCAACUGGCUCCAUCGGGCGAGGGGAGGGAGGUGGAUCCGCGAGCUGCAUAGAUCGUAUCCGACGGGCUCAACGGGCCACCCAGCUGGCUUGGAUGCAGGAUAACUACUCUUCGUAAGCGACUGUAAGAGUGGACAAAAUGGUGAAGGAGGAGAUAGGGGAGCGGCGGAGGUGUGCGAUUCUUGGCCGGCGUUUGGCCUCGUUUAAAUAGGAGAUUAAAUAGACGGCGGACGGGAGGAGCUCAGCCGGUGUUGCGUUUAAUGCCGGCCCGGUCAUGAAGGGCAUGUGUAUAGAGUGGGUUUCUUGGCUUCCACACUUGCGGGUUUCAUGGAGGGAUUUGAAUGCGGCAAGGAGGCGUGUUCAGCCGAGCGUGCAGCGAGUGGCGCUCUCGACUCUGACGUACGACACUGCACCGUUCUUCUACUGAUGUUUGGGCUCUUUGGGUACAUGGCUUGCAUGUCAGUGACCCAACGCAGGCAGCGCACAGUAGAGGAACUUUUCGUGGGCCAGGGCGGUCAGAAGCAGGCAUUUCAUAAACCGAUGAUUGUUCAUUGAGUGUGACGUCAACUAUUUCAUGUAGAUAAGCCUACUAUGUUGAUAGCCCGUUCGAUACGUUGUGAUUCAUAAAGACCGCUGCAAACAUCAAUGUUUUGCUUAUCAUAGAUAAGAUUGAUUAAUACCUGUAACAAUCCAUGUCCUUAACAAAGGGUGCAUGCACGUAUAGGUUGAUCGUGUGUCUUGUGUCAUGUGCUGUGUGCAUGCAGGCGUGCGAGUGUUGCGUGCGUGCAAGGGUACAUUUCAGUGUUGCAUGCAUGUGUGCGUACGUGCGUGUGUUCGUGAGUGCAUGUGUCUGUUUCAUUGUUGCACGGCUGCAUGCGUGCAUGUGUUUGUUAUGUGUACGUGUCAGUGUUGCAUGCCUGCAUGCGUGCGCGUCUUGUGUGCGUGCAUCUGUACGUGCGGGGUGAGGCUACACGUCAGUCGACUGACUUUUUCAUCUCUGGUCAUUAGAUUUUCCAGCCAUUGGAUACGAAAUGAAGGGCCUGCAGUUUAUCCUCAAACUCCACCCCCCUGAGCCGCCAGCCACCACCGGCCCCUACCGGCCGCGGACGGCCCACGCCGCCACGCCGACCCGCCCACCCCGAAACCACUCCCCACCGCCAGUCCAGNNNNNNNNNNNNNNNNNNNNNNNNNNNNNNNNNNNNNNNNNNNNNNNNNNNNNNNNNNNNNNNNNNNNNNNNNNNNNNNNNNNNNNNNNNNNNNNNNNNNNNNNNNNNNNNNNNNNNNNNNNNNNNNNNNNNNNNNNNNNNNNNNNNNNNNNNNNNNNNNNNNNNNNNNNNNNNNNNNNNNNNNNNNNNNNNNNNNNNNNNNNNNNNNNNNNNNNNNNNNNNNNNNNNNNNNNNNNNNNNNNNNNNNNNNNNNNNNNNNNNNNNNNNNNNNNNNNNNNNNNNNNNNNNNNNNNNNNNNNNNNNNNNNNNNNNNNNNNNNNNNNNNNNNNNNNNNNNNNNNNNNNNNNNNNNNNNNNNNNNNNNNNNNNNNCACCGCCCAAUCACCGCCCCCCCACCGGAGGAGACUGUCAACCAGAGGCCUCACGACUUCGAAUACCCACCAACCACUAAUUUAUUACCAUUUUGUCCUUCAUAUACGCGCUGACGGGUGGGCCCUAUGGUAAUGUGCGCUGCUGAAUGUGGACCAUUUGACUGGUCAAUUGAUCGUGUCAUCAACAAAUUACGGAGUUGUAUGGUGAGCCAGUGACCGUAUGAUCACCCUAAAAUGUAUUUUAUUAACAUAGUACAGACUCAAACUACACACCAUUUCUUUCUUUCAUAUACGGGCUGACAGAUGGGUCCCAUGGUUACGCGCCCCGAUGGUGCAACACUAGUUGCGCCAUGUGGAACGUUUGACUGGUCAAUUGAUUGUGUCAUCAACAAAAUACAGAGUUGUACGGGUGAGCCAGUGACCGUAUAAUGAUGACAUGUAUUUUUUUAACACAGUACACACGCAAGGGCUCAUAUAUACGCGCAAGCACUCACCGCUAUAAGCGCACACACGCAGACCCUACCCCUAUGAGCACCUUCGAGAGAGUGAGCCAGCAUAUGAUCUUGAGAUUUUAUGAAGUCACCAUAGGUGCCUCGUAGUUGAGUGGAACGUCUCCUCCCACUGAACGCACGUCGCCAGAAAAUACUGAAAUUAACCCAGGAUAAGUGCAAGCACCGGGACUUUAACCUUGGUGGGCUCGAGAAACCACUGUCCUCCUAACCAUCCAACCACAUGUUGGUUAGCACGACAAAAUGUAUGUGGUGACCAUGAUGAGCUUAUUCUGAAGUCCAGUGACCAUAUUGUGCUUUCGCUUCAAAUACAAUGACCAUAAGUGUCGUCAACAAAAUACGGAGCAUGCAUCAAAUGCAAAGUCCAUCAGUGUCAUCAAGAAAAUACAGAGACGUAUCGUGAGCUAGAUAUCAUAUGAUCACCACGAGAAUGUAUACAGUGACCAUAAUGAGCAUAUUCUGAAGUCUAGUGACCGUAUAGUGCUUUAGCUUGAAAUACAGUGACCGUCAUGCGUGAAUGUCUCAUGGGCAUGCAUACUUUUAGAGGGCCGAGAGAUAGUUUGUGUGCGUACGUGAAAGUGGUGUAGAAAGAGGGGGUAUCCGGUGGAGACAAGGAGAAUAUAUAAACAUUCACAAUGCAGAACAAAUAUUUUCAGAGAAUAUAUAAACAUUCACAAUGGAACAAUAUUUUCGGAUGCAGCAUGCAAUUAACUUUCAUGUAUAACAUUGUACUAUUGUAUAUGCUUAUUUUCUUAGUGGCCGAUUGCGUGUGUGGUGUGGUGGGAACAUCAUUUCUAGUCGUGGCCGGUCAACAUGAGGACUCAUGGGUCGGUUCCAUCCUGCGCCACAUAGGUUGGACCGAGACGUGUUAUACAAAGACCCAUGUGGAGGACUCGGCAUACAACACGAAGCUACCAGAGUCGUGGAGGACUCUAUCCCCACUGGUGAUAAGCCGACUAUAUAUGAUUUGUAACCCUAGGCCCCGAGUAUGUUAUAGAAUCUUGGGGGCUAGUUCGUCGAUAGUAUACACACACGCACAAUGCAUGGUAUUCAUGUGUACUUUGUACACACCCCUAUCACUAAUAUAUAGUACCAAGAGUAGGGUUUUUCCUCAACUGCAAGGGUCCGAACUAGGGUAAAACUUUGCCUCGUAUUACCAUCCAGCCUAACAGUCAGGGAUAUCCUACCGAAUGAUAUGAUGGAAUCAUAUCUGCAAACUACUAACCAAGAGGUGUGUCUGGGGGGUCGGGGCAAUGUGUGUGAGAAAGGCCUAAAGAUGAUGUGCGUGCGAGAGACACGUAGGCAUAUAUAUGUGCAUAUAGAGGGCUAGUAGAGACCGUGCGUGUGUGUAUAUGCAUGUGGGAGAAAUAGUGUUUUCUAACUGAGAUUAGUGAAAAGAGUGGUACAUAGUAGUCAGAAAGAGAGAGAGAGAUAUUGUGAUAGCCUGGCUUAUUAGGGAUGAUAGACUACUCAUAUCAAUAAGGAAUUCCUUCUUUUCCGGGAUCCCAUUCGGACAGAACUCCAAAGUUAAGCGUGCUCAGCUUGGAGUAGUUUCAGGAUGGGUGACCGACCGGGAAGUUGCUCCCGGGUGCGCACGAGUGAGGACAAAGUGCACAGAAAAGACUAGUAUUGAUCUGUGGGGCCAGUCUAGAUCCCGCCGGGUGUGUCCGGGGCGUUACAAGUUGGUAUCAGAGCCGACCCUUGCGGUUACACGGAUGGUUGCGGACAGGUGCGCGGUCAUGUUGUGCAUGACGUUUGUGACCCGUCGUGGCACACGGCAUGGCACAUGUGCCGGACUGGAAGCACAGACGUAUGUGCCAAGAGGGAAUGUUCCUGUGGCCCGACGAGGACGUCGGUUCCUCUGAGUGUGGGUGUAUGUGAUAGCCUGGCUUAUUAGGGAUGAUAGACUACUCAUAUCAAUAAGGAAUUCCUUCUUUUCCGGGAUCCCAUUCGGACAGAACUCCAAAGUUAAGCGUGCUCAGCUUGGAGUAGUUUCAAGAUGGGUGACCGACCGGGAAGUUGCUCCCGGGUGCGCACGAGUGAGGACAAAGUGCACAGAAAAGACUAGUAUUGAUCUGUGGGGCCAGUCUAGAUCCCGCCAGGAGUAACGACCACCGGCGGGUGUGUCCGGGGCGUUACAGAUAUAUAGAGAGAGCAUGUGCAUGAGACACCCCGAGAGAGAUUGUGGGCAUGUGUGAAAGAGAAAUGCUGAUGCAUAUAAAGUGUGUGCACUUAUGCGUUAGAUAGAGAGAUAUAUCGCGCGUUUGUGAGAACGGGCCGAGGCAUAGUGCAUCUAAGUGUAAAAGGCGGUUCUACACAUUAAAUUAAAAUAUAAAUGGCAUUAUUAUUUUUGGAUGAGAUCAUGAAUUUUGCAAAUUGUGUAUGGACGAAAAUUGGUUUACUAGACACCCAUACUCUAUUGAAUUCUAGCAUGUGCAUGUAUUUAUUUCAUAUUAUCGAUCCAUAGAAUGAGAGCUGUUUGAAAUACAGACAAUGGAUGCUUUUGCAAUUCAUAUAUAAACAUUAAUUAGUGCACUCCAUGUUGUUAGUGUGAAGCACUUUAUACAUUCGUCACUUGCAUGGAUACAUUCCAAAUUGCUAACUAUGAAAUAGAAUACAUGUCGAAUUCAACAUAAAGGGGUUUCGAAGAUUCGAAUUCAUAGGAAGUGCAUUCAUCUAUUUGAACCCGAGAUAAUGGCAUUUGUAAAUCAAAGGUAAAAGGGGGCAUCAAUCUUUGUUGUGCGUUUGAACAUGCUAUAUAUAUUCAUAUGCAUGUCUAUCUUUUUUUUGCAACCAAGGAGAUUAUAUCUGGAAUCAUGCAUGAACUGACGUGAGUUGCAUAUUUUUUAAUAUAUACUCGUGUACAAUGUAUAUUUGAAUCUACCCCCUCCAUUCCAAAAUAAUCGUAGCUUUAGGAUUUUCAAGAGUAAAGAUUUGUGAAGUUUGACAAAUCCUGAAAGUUCAAUUCAAGAGAACCAAAAACGUUAAUGCUUCUGCUCCCAAAUAUUGAACGAAGCGCCAAAUAGGCCUCUGGUCACCCGAAACCGCGCGAGACUAAUGUUUGGUGGUAGGAAAUUACUGUCCUAACUCUGGCCCGUGUAGCCUAUCGGCCCGAUGUCCAAAGAUCUAAACUGGGGUAGGUUUGUAACUUCACCAAGACGCCAGUCUCAACCGCCUCCGAGAAGCAUUCAUACGCCGUGGGCGCCUAAACACCCAUGCACUUGGCUGAAAUCUAUCCCACCCACAAUUGGGACACCUGAGAUUACUUUCCUACCCCCAACCCGCAAUAUGUCUUAAAUUUUAGAUGGGGGCAAAGUUUGUAAGUUUCCCCAAAUUUCAAACAAGCGCGUCUCAAACCAAAACAUUGUUCCCCCUUAGUUCCCCGCCUCCCUCCGUUUCCCCAUUCAUACUCCGUGGGUGCCAAAAUGCUCUCUCCACCAGCCGCGAAUCCCCAGCUUCCUCCGUCCUCCACCCCAUAGUGCCCAAUCCACCGCCGCCCUCCUCCAUCACGCCGGAGCCGCUACCCCGACGUCGUCGUCCAACGCAACCGCAACCGCAACGCCCUCAAGGACUUAGCAGCUGAAGCCGAGGCAGAGCUGCCUCCACGACGCCGACGCCGACAUGCGCCAUACCAGAACUACUCCGACCAUGCUGUCCUGCGCCUCACUGCUAUGCUCCAAUGUCGCAACGGUCCACUGCACCGGAGCUGUUCUCGCUACGCCGUCGUCCGCCGCCUCGGAUCUGUUUCCCCGCCGCCGACAGACGGCCACCGCACCACACUCAACAACUUGGCCAUUGGUUCGGCAAAAGCUCCACCAUCCUCCACAACUUCUUGUUUCUAGCGAACCACAAGAAGAUCGUUGGAAAAACAAAAGGAGGACACAACACGGCCAGCAGAAAGAGGUACUCCUUUUCCCUAAUUCGUGCAAAUUUUACGUCUCUGCUCACACCGUAUUCAUCCCACAAAAGAAACUAUUUGAGCGCUUCUUACUGCAUCUUCUUCGUGAUACUAAAUGCACAAGGUUUCCUCCCUUUAAUAUUUCACCUUUGCUAGAGGUCAGUAGCCCGCCUGGAUUUCAAUUCAGGGUCAGCCAAACCGCAAUUAAAAGAAGCAGCACCCGCUUAGGCGCGCGGAGCACCUAGUCCGCCCGUUCGCCGGGGAAGUUGCGCAUCGGUGUCUAUCAUAGGGGUGUAGGGCACAGGAGCUGCUUGCGCCUGAUCUGGAGGUCGGCGGGGCUUGAAUGGAUGGUAGGGGGCGGUGCCAAGAACGACGGUGUGGUGAGGUCGAGGGGAGGGCCCAGGCAGGGGACUGGGCCGGUGGUCGCUGGCGUUUUGAGGAAGAUCGUCGACACUGACUGUCUAGAGGGAGAUGAAGGCGAUCUGCCCGUUCUUUGUACAUUGGACGGUGUAGAAAAAUGGAUUGACCUAUUUGUUUUCAGUCGACUGUUAUUUUCAUAGAAUCCUAUAGUAAUUUAGUGUGCCAUGUAUGAUUUAGAGCUAUCAUAUGUCUCCCGUCAUUUAUUUCUCACCGACCUGCUAUCUGCUACCUUUACACUGUACUAAUUGUGCGCACACUUCACCCAUACUCACACUAUUGUUUUUUAUGCAUGGGUAAUUUCAUACUCUGACGCAGUGUUGAUGAAUGCAGAAAAGAAAGGACAGAAGUCACUCCAGUGUAAUUUGAAGAUAAGCACUACGCGUUUUAGCGCUCUAAAGGGUGCAGUGUCAGUAGUUGGAGACAGUAAACCUAGCUCUGCAGUUGAUGAUCUCAAUUGCCACAUACAACCAUCCCAGGUGCUUGCUUUAACUUCGCACUGUCAAAUGUGGUUGCAUGUUGCAUAUGGUGUCUAGCUUGUAUUGCUUCCAAUUUGGUUAAAUUACAUCUGCUUACUUUACACAUUAUACCUUUGAUAAAGACAUGCCUUCCUGUUUUUGAUACAGACUACAUAUGUCUAUUAACCAUGUUUGUACAUCAAACUAAUGCUCUUUUGUAUCCCUCAUCAAUCACUUAUGAUGAUAUAGUCACCCCAGUGGGUUACUAUGAGACGCCCUACUCAUUUAAAGAGUGCAGUGUCAUCCUCCCCACAUGAUUAUCAAGAAACAGCAAGGCUAAAUGAAGAUAGUCAACGUAGCUCUCUAGUUGAUGACUGCAAUUCCCGCACACCACCAUCGCAGGUGCUUGUUCUUACUUGGCAGUGUGAUAUGUGGUUGCAUGUUGCAUAUGGUGUCUACCUUGUAAUGCUUCUAAUUAGGGUAAAUUGCAUCUGCUUAGUUAACACAUUGUACCUAUGAAUAUGACAUGCCUUCCUGUUUUUAGUACAUACUACGUCUUUCUAUUAACCAUGUUCUUACAUCAAACUACUUUUCUUGUGUAUCCCUCAUCAAUCACUUCUGAUGAUACACCUUCAAGUUGACAGUGUAAUAUUGGUUGCAUCAUGCAUAUCAUUUCAAACAUGUAUUGCCUCUUGUUUGUUGAAGUGCCACUUAUAAUGAGACACAUCUAACUUGGUAGAGUGAUUUUGGUUGGAUCUUUCAUAUGGUGUCUAGAUUGCAUUGCUUCCAAUUUGUUGAAAUGCCUUCUGCUUAGCAUUUAUCAUACAUAUUCCAUCCUCCUACAAUGUGGUUGCCAUAUAUAAAAGUUGUGUUCGUCAGUAUCAUGCAUCAACGAAUUUGGAAGUGCGAAUUUCAUUCCUUUUUCUUGUGUGUUUACUUGACAAGGAAAAAUCUCAAAGGACGAAGGCACGGAAUGAUGGUGGUCCUCUGGAGCAACCGAAACAGAUGAUCUCUGCAGAUUCUCCUGCUACUCGUACUGAAGUGCAAGUUCCAAAUCUCAUCUCCCCUACUCCACAACCCAAGGUGCUUGCUCUAACAUGGCAGUGUGAUAUCUGGUUGCAUGUUGCAUAUGGUGCCUAGCUUGUAUUGCUCCUAAUUUGUUAAAUUGCAUCUCCUUAGCUUACACAUUAUACAUGUGAAUAUGACACACCUUCCUGUUUUUGGUACAUACUACAUCUGCCUAUCACACCAUGUUCUUACAUCAAACUACUGUUCUUGUGUAUCCUGCAUCUAUCGCUUAUGAUGAGACAGUCACGCCUGUGGGUUAGUAUGAGACGUGCUACUCUUAUAAAGAAUGCAGUUUCAUCAUCUCCACAUGAUUCUCAAGAAACAGCAAGCCUAAAUGAAGAUAUUGAACGUAGCUCUGUACUUGAAGACCACACUUCCCCUACACCACCAUCACAGGUGCUUGCUCUAACUUCGCAGUGUGAUAUGUGGUUGCAUGUUACAUACGAUGUCUAUCUUGUAAUGCUUCUAAUUAGGGUAAAAUGCAUAUGCUUAGUUUACACAUUAUACCUGUGAAUAUGACAUGCCUUCCCACUUUUGGUACACACUACAUCUAUGUGUUAACCUUGUACUUACAUGAAACUACCUCUCUUCUGUAUCCUGCAUCAACCACUUCCGAUGAGUCACCUUUAUUUGUUGCAUAUUGCAUAUUAUUUCUAGCCUGUUGCCAUGUAUUGCUUCUAAUUUGGUCAAAUACAUUUGUUAGGGCACCCUUUUAAUUUGGCAGAGUGAUAUUGGUUUCAUCUUUCAUAUGGUUUCUAGCUUGCAUUGAUUCUAACAAGUUCAAACAGCUUGUGCAUAGUUUACACUUUAUACAUCAUACAUGUCAAUAUGUCACGUCGUCCUGUUUUUCAUACAUAUUCCAUCCUCCUAUCAUGCGGCUGCCUUACAUGAAAGUAGUGUUCACCAGUAUCAUGCAUCAAUGAGUUUUGAAGAGCAAAUUUUAUUCCUUUUUCUUGUGGGUUUGACUUGACAAGGCAAAAUCAAGAAAGAGGAAGGAAAAGAGUAAGGAAGGCCAUGAUGGUGGUUCUCUGUAGCAACUUAAACGGAGCAUCUAUACUGAUUCUCCUUGUACUGCUAGUGCAUUACAAGGUCCAAGUCACUGCUCCCCUACUCCACCAUCCAAGGUGCUUGCUCUAACUUGGCAGUGUGAUAUCUAGUUGCAUGUUGCAUAUGGUGUCUAGCUUGUAUUGCUCCUAAUUAGUGUAAACCCCAUCUGCUUAGCUUACACAUGAUACGUGUGAAUAUGACACGCUUUCCUGUUUUUGGUACAUACUAUAUCUAUCUAUCACACCAUGUUCUUACAUGAAACUACUUUUCUUAUGUAUUCUGCAUCAGUCACUUAUGAUGGGACACCUUUAAGUUGGCAGUGUGAUAUUGGUUUGCAUCUUGAAUAUGAUUUCUAGCAUGGAUUGCUUCUAGUUUGAUGAACGCCACCUCUGACGAGACAACUUUAACUUGGCAGAGUGAUAUUGAUUGCACCUUCCGUAUGGUGUCUAGUUUGCAAUGCUUCUAAUUUGUUGAAUUGCCUUCUACUUAGUUGCCACAUCAUAGGUGUGAAUAUGUCAAGACGUCCAGUUUUUCGUACAUAUUCCAUCCUCGUAUCAUGACUUUGCCUUUCAUCAGAGUAGUGUUCGUCAGUAUCAUGCAUGAAUGAGUUCUGAAGAGCGAAUUAUAUUCCGUUUUCUUGCCGGUUUGACAUCACAAUGCAAAAUCAAUAAAGCUUAAGGAAAUUGGCAAGGCAUUGAAUGAUGGUGGUCCUUCCGAGCAACUGAAACGGAGGUUCUCUACAAAUUCUACUCCGCCAUCCUCCCAACAAAAUUCGCAAGACAACGCAAGGCUAGACAGUCAACGUAGUUGUGUAGAUGAUGAGCACAUCUCUCCUACUCCACCAUCACAGGUGCUUGCUCUAAGUUGGCACUAUUAUAUGUGGUUGCAUGUUGCGUAUGAUGUCUAGCUUGUAUUGCUUCUAACUUUGUUGAAUUGCAUCUGCUUACUUUACACAUAAUGCAUGUGAAUAUGACAUGUGUUCCGGUUUCUAGAACAUAUUAUAUUUGAUCACACCAUGUUCUUACAUCAAACUACUGUUCUUGCAUAUCCCGCAUCAGUCACUUAUGAUAAGGCACCUUUAAGUCGCCACUUUGAUAUUGGUUGUGUCUUGCAUAUGAUUUCUAGCAUGUAGUGCUUCUAAUUUGUUCAAACGCCAUACAGUUUGAACUUGGUAGAGUGAUAUUGGUUGCAUCUUUCAUAUGGUGUCUAGCUUGCAGUGCUUCUAAUUUGAAAUGCCAUCUGCUUAGUUACCACAUCAUAGGUGUGAAUAUGUCACGCCAUCCUGUUUUUCAUACAUAUUCCAUCCUCGCAUCAUGUGUUUGUCUUUCAUCCGAGUAGUGUUCGUCAGUAUCAUGCAUGAAUGAGUUCUGAACAACGAAUUUUAUUCCUUUUUCUUAUCGGUUUGACUUCACAAUGCAAAAUCAUUACAACUUAAGGAAAUUAGUCCGAAAGUGGAUGAUGGUGGUCCUUUUGAGCAACUCAAAUAGGGGGUCCUUACAGAUUCUACUCCUCCAUCCUCCCAACAAGAUUCGCAAGACAACACAAGGCUGGACAGUCAACCUAGCUAUGUAGAUGAUGAGCACAUCUCCCCUACUCCACCAUCAUAGGUGCUUGCUCUAACUUGGCACUGUUAUAUGUGGUUGCAUGUUGCGUAUGAUGUCUAGCUUGUAUUGCUUAUAACUUUGUUGAAUUGCAUCUGCUUACUUUACACAUAAUGCCUAUGAAUAUGACACGUGUUCAUGUUUCUAGAACAUACGUGUACAUGAUGAGCACAUCUCCCCAAAUCCACCAUCACAGGUGCUUGCUCUAACUUGGAACUGUUAUAUGUGGUUGCGUUUUCCAUAUGAUGUCUAGUUUGUAUUGCUUCUGAUUAUGUUGAAUUGCAUCAGUGUAGCUUACAACUUAUACCUGCAAUGAUCACUUACCCAUAAGACACGUUUAACUUGGGACUGUGAUGUAGGUUGCAUCUUGCAUUGUCUUGUAGCUUGUACUGCUUCUAAUUUCUUGAAAUGGCACUUACGAUGAGACAUUUUUUACCUGAUAGAGUGAUAUUGGUUGCAUGUUCAUAUGGUGCCUAACUUUCAUUUCUUCUAAUUUUGUUGAAAUGCCUUCCGCUUACUGUUUUUUCAUACAUCUUCCAUCCUCCUAUCGUACGUGUGAAUAUGCAACGCUGUCUUUUUUUGUAUAUAUUCUAUCCUCCUAUCCCGCGCUUGCCUUGCAUCGAAGUAGUGUUCGUUUGUAUCAUGCAUCAACCAGUUAUGCAGAGCUAAUUUUAUUCAUCUUCUAGUGGUUUUGACUUCAUAAGGCAAUAUCAGAAAAUAGGAAGGAAAAGAGUAAGUUAGGGGAUGUUGGUGGUCCUCCGCACCAACGCAAACAAAGACUCUCUAGAUUUGCCACUGCUACUGCUAAUGAAGUUAAAGUCCCAAGUCUACAUGAUGAGUUCAUCUCCCGUACUCCACCAUCGCACGUGCUUGCUCUAAGUUGACAGUGUAAUAAUUGGUUCAUGUUGCAUAUGUUGUCUAGCCUGUAUUUCUUCUAUUUUGAUUAAAUUGCACCUGCUGAGUUUAUACGUUCUGCAUGUGUAUAUGACAUGGCUUUCUAUGUCUGGAAUACACUGCAUCUAUCUAUCAUACCAUGUUCUUACAUGAAAGUACUGUUGUAGUGUAUCCCCCAUCAGUCACUCAUGAUUGGACGCUUUUAACAUGGCAGUUUGAUAGUGGUUGCAUCUUGCAUUGAUUUCUAUGUUGUACUACUUCUAAUCUUUCGAAUUACCACUUAUGACAAGACACUUUUAACUUGGCAGAGUAAUAUUGGUUGCAUUUUCAUAUGGUGUCUAGCUUGCAUUACUUCUAUUUCUCGAAAAUUCUUCUGCUUAAUUUACACAUCGUAGCUGUGAAUAUGUAUGUCGUCCUGUUUUUCUUACAUACUAGGCAAGUGGCCCGCUCGAUGCGUGGGCUAGAAUCUAACUAAGUUAAGUGUGAGAAUAUAUUAUUUGAUUUGUCCAAUAAAAAUUGAAACAAAAUGUGAUGACAUUUUUAAUUAUAAGACCUUUCCGAACAUAGUUCUGUCUUUGGCAUAUUUGGGUUUUAUAACAUAUAAAUACACGUGUUGUCCGUUCAUGGUUUACUUACUAAUUGUGCAUGCCCUACUAUAGUUUCAUAAUCAGUUGCAUUCAUCAAAUUACAUUUGUAUUUUCCUGACAUUUUUAUCAUGUUCUUAGUUUUUUUCUAAUCAUUAGUUUAACAGUUUCUAUCAUUUUCGUGUAAUCAUAGGUUAAUUUGCUCACACUGUGCUAGAUUUUCACAUUUUAUAUUUAGUUUUUUUGUAUAGUUAAAAGAUUUAGUUUAUCUACCUCUAUAUACUUAUGCAUAAGAAAUUUUUUUGGUAGGUCUUUGCCUUCAUACACGUGCACUCAGUAGUGCAAAGGGUGUCUUACAUUUUCACGUCACAUAGUUUGCUCUCACUUUAUGCAUGUACAGAAUGUCAUUAGCUUCAUGGGUCCCACCUGUAUGAUUCUUCAAUUUCCCCGUUCUCUGUAGUCUUCUCGAGUUCUCUGUCCUUCUUUUCUCCACUCAUUCCCUUUCUCAUUUCCUUAUUAUCUCUUCUCACACAAAAAUUGGUUUUGCUGGAUAGCUCCCAUCAGCUUGCUCUCUUGAUCCAUUGCAUUGAGGUUGCUCCUCCUCACCUCAGGCGACCCCCGCAGCUAGUGCUGCCAUAGGCUGACCAUCGACGGCGGCUGGUUUGGCCCCUCAUACGCCUCCUCCAUCUCCUAGGCUAGUAAAUGGGGCUAGAUUUAUGUUGGCGUCUGUGCAGUGAUUUUGUGACGGAUUUUGUCUCCCACAGGCCUGCAGCCUCUUGGAUCCAGGUUCAGUAUGAGGGUGCUGGCGACAUUUUCUUCCCCAAGCACACAAAUCAAACGCAUCGCCGCUAAUUCUGUGCGAGUCAGCUGAACACAUCAUCCACACCCUCUACAGCGGCAACAUUCUUCAAUUCGAACUGCAGGUCCCCAUUUUUCCUUUUCGCGACUCUGUCGUAUUACCAUCUUUAUCUUCUAGCAUUUUUCCUUUUCGCGACUUUCACUACUAGGGAAAACCCUAUUAGUAGCGCAGGUUUUGAGGCUAGCAGUAGCGCGGGUGGCCGCGCUACUACUAAGGUGCUACCGCUAACUCAUAGUAGUAGCGCGGCCCUUACCCGCGCUACUACUGUUGACGAUGUCAGUAGCACUUUUUAAGAACGCGCUACUAUUACCUAGCUGUAGCGAUUUUGCCAUCCCUCGCUACUGCUAUAUAUUUCAUCAUUUUCCCAGUACCCCUUUCCCUUACAGUUUCCCUUUCAGAUACUAGAUACUAGGUACUGCUAGUAGAUAUCAAAUUCAUAAACCAUUACUAGGUAGUACUCCCUUCGUUCCAAAUUACUCGUCGUGGUUUUAGUUCAAACCACGACGAGUAAUUUGGAACGAAGGGAGUACUAGAUAACAAUUUCAUGCAUAGUCAACAUGCAUCCUCAAGCAGUACAAGGUCAUAUCAACGGCCAUCAUCAUAUGUAGUUCUAGAUGAUAUCGACGAUGAUCAUCAUAUGUAGUUCUAGAUGAUAUAGCCACACACACACACAUAUGUAGUUCUAGAUGAUAUAGCCACACACACAUAUGUAGUUCUAGAUGAUAUCGAAGACAAUCAUCAUCCUCAAGCCUGGGCGGUUGGUGUUCCUGAUAGUAAUUAGGAUGGCCUGUCCAACACGAAGAUUCUUGCCAUCAAGGAAUUUCUUCCACCCAACCGAGUUUAAGUGUGUGCGACCGUCCGUGUCCACACGGUAAGUACAGGUUGUGACGGAGCCCCUUGCAGUAAGGCGUAGUCCAGCUGAGCCUUCUUCAUCAGGCUCGAUACCAUAACUCAUAGAUAUGCUCUUUGCCAAUUUCUGAAUAAGAAAAACAUAUCAAUUAAUAAAUAGCCUCGCAAAUAAGUACAUAUGGAUUAUCUACACUAUUACUAGUUUCCUUAGAUUCUACACUAAUAAGCAUGUGAUAGAACUCUACACUAAAACAUAUCAUCGACUAGAUUCCACACAACAUACCAUAUCAUUGGACUAUACCCUAAGUAAUUCAUCGGAUAAUUUGCAUUUGUAAGUAUAACAUACCAUAUCAUGUCGAUCAACCAUGGUAUUUGUCAAGCGGGUCACGAAUGGCACCCCGACAAAGUCAGCACGUGGCGGAAUUAUGUCCCAUAGGUUGGACACCUCCUCCUCACUCAGCCUUGUUCUUUGAGCUACGAUGGCUUCAUGAAGUGGGUCCUCAUCAUCUUCAUCGAGUGGGUCCUCAUUAUCUUCAUCAUCUUCAUCAUCUUCGUCAUCUUCAUCAUCUUCCACAAGGUUGAGAUAAAUGACAGCUAGCUUGGGUCUUUCUGCUCGGAAGGAGAAGCUGAUCAACUCACCACCAGUAAGACGCAUGCGAGCCACGAAACGGGCCCAUCCAUCUCCUCCAAUCUGCGACAUAUUGCGUCCUUUCUCGACCUCCAUAGUGUACAGCCCCCUAGGAGCCUCAAAUGUCAUAGUGUCUCCUGUCAGCUUGUUGAAUUUCAACCUCACAUUGCGUGGGACGAUCUGUGUAAAAUAAGAAAAAUGACACAAUGCAGUAAUGCCAACACUAAAAAUAAAAUAGUUAUUACAUUUCAUCUAAUUUCUUACCGCCGCAUGACGAAAACUCGGCUGGAAGUAGAUGCCGAACAGCUUGCCAGUUGCAAUGCUGCUGGCGCAUCUUGACUUGCACAAUCGACAUAGUGGUGGUGGUGGUGAUGGGGAACGUUGCAGAAAAUUAAAAUUUUUCCUCCGACUUCACCAAGAUCCAUCUAUGAGUUCAUCUAAGCAACGAGUCUAGGGAGAGAGUUUGCAUCUACAUACCACUUGUAGAUCGCGUGCGGAAGCUUGCAAGGUGAUGAUGGAGUCGUACUCGAACGUGAUUCAGAUCACCGAUGUCCAAGUGCUGAACGGACAGCACCUCCGCAUUCAACACACGUACGGAACGAGCGACGUCUCCUCCGUCUUGAUCCAGCAAGGAGGAAGGAGAGGUUGAGGAAGACAGCUCCACCGGCAGCACGACGGCGUGGUGAUGGUGGAGAAGCAGUACUCCGACAGGGCUUCGCCGAGCGCACAACGGAGGAGGAGAGGUGUUGGGGAGGGGAGGGCUGCGCCUUGGCUUUGGUGUGGCUGCCCUCCCCUCACCCCUCUAUUUAUAGGGGAAGGGAGAAGGGGGCCGGCCCCUCUAGAUCCCAUCUAGAGGGGGGCGGCGGCCAAGGGGAGGGGGGACUUGCCCCCCAAGCAAGGGGGGGCGCCCCCUCUAGGGUUCCCCCCUCAACCCUAGGCGCAAGGGCCCAGGGGCAGGGGUGCACCAAGCCCACCAGGGGCUGGUCACCUCCCCACGCAGCCCAAGUGGCCCCCCGGGAGGGGUGGCCCCUCCCGGUUGACCCCCGGAACCCUUCCGGUGGCCCCGGCACAAUACCGGUAUGCCCCCGAAACUUUCCGGUAUCCCUUUGACAACUUCCCAUAUAUAAAUCUUUACCUCCGGACCCUUCCGGAACUCCUCGUGACGUCCGGGAUCUCAUCCGGGACUCCGAACAACAUUCGGUAGUCACAUACUAGUCUUCCUAAUAACCCUAGCGUCACCGAACCUUAAGUGUGUAAACCCUACGGGUUCGGGAGACACGCAGACAUGACCGAGACGACUCUCGGGCAAUAACCAACAGCGGGGUCUGGAUACCCAUGUUGGCUCCCACAUGCUCCUCGAUGAUUUCAUCGGUUGAACCACGAUGUCGAGGAUUCGAUCAAAACCCUGUAUGCAAUUCCCUUUGUCAAUCGGUACGUUACUUGCCCGAGACUCGAUCGUCGGUAUCCCAAUACCUUGUUCAGUCUCGUUACCGGCAAGUCACUUUACUCGUACCAUAAUGCAUGAUCCCGUGGCCAACACCUUGGUCACCUUGAGCUCAUUAUGAUGAUGCAUUACCGAGUGGGCCCAGAGAUACCUCUCCGUCAUACGGAGUGACAAAUCCCAGUCUCGAUCCGUGUCAACCCAACAGAUACUUUCGGAGAUACCUGUAAUGCACCUUUAUAGUCACCCAGUUACGUUGUGACGUUUGAUACACCCAAGGCACUCCUACGGUAACCGGGAGUUACACGAUCUCAUGGUCGAAGGAAGAGAUACUUGACAUUGGCAAAGCUUCUAGCAAACGAACUAUACGAUCUUUUAUGCUAUGCUUAGGAUUGGGUCUUGUCCAUCACAUCAUUCUCCUAAUGAUGUGAUCCCGUUAUCAACGACAUCCAAUGUCCAUAGUCAGGAAACCAUGACUAUUUGUUGAUCACAACGAGCUAGUCUACUAGAGGCUCACCAGGGACAUUUGUGGUCUAAGUGUUCACACGUGUAUUACGAUUUCCGGAUAAUACAGUUAUAGCAUGAACAAAAAGACAAUUAUCAUGAACAUUGAAAUAUAAUAAUACUUUUAUUAUUGCCUCUAGGGCAUAUUUCCAACAGUCUCCCACUUGCACUAGAGUCACCAAUCUAGUUACAUUGUGAUGAAUCGAACACCCAUAGAGUUCUGGUGUUGAUCAUGUUUUGCACGCGAGAGGGGAUUAGUCAACGGAUCUGCGACAUUCAGAUCCGUGUGCACUUUGCAAAUCUCUAUGUCUCCAUCUUGAACAUUUUCACGGAUGGAGUUGAAACGACGCUUGAUGUGCCUGGUCUUCUUGUGAAACCUAGGCUCCUUGGCAAGGGCAAUAGCUCCAGUGUUGUCACAGAAGAGUUUGAUCGGCCCCGACGCAUUGGGUAUGACUCCUAGGUCGGUGAUGAACUCCUUCACCCAAAUCGCUUCAUGCGCUGCCUCCGAGGCUGCCAUGUACUCCGCUUCACACGUAGAUCCCGCAACGACGCUCUGCUUGCAGCUGCACCAGCUUACUGCUCCACCAUUCAACAUAUACACGUAUCCGGUUUGCGACUUAGAGUCAUCCAGAUAUGAGUCGAAGCUAGCGUCGACGUAACCCUUUACGACGAGCUCUCCGUCUCCUCCAUAAAUGAGAAACAUGUCCUUCGUCCUUUUCAGGUACUUUAGGAUAUUCUUGACCGCUGUCCAGUGUUCCUUGCCGGGAUUACUUUGGUAUCUCGCAACCAAACUUACGGCAAGGUUUACAUCGGGUCUGGUACACAGCAUGGCAUACAUAAUAGAUCCUAUGGCUGAAGCAUAGGGGAUGACACUCAUCUCUUCUUUAUCUUUUGCCGUGGUCGGUGACUGAGCCGAGCUCAAUCUCACACCUUGUAACAUAGGCAAGAACCCCUUCUUGGACUGAUCCAUUUUGAACCUCUUCAAAAUCUUAUCAAGGUAUGUGCUUUGUGAAAGACCUAUGAGGCGUCUCGAUCUAUCUCUAUAGAUUUUGAUGCCUAAUAUAUAAGCAGCUUCUCCAAGGUCCUUCAUUGAAAAACACUUGUUCAAGUAGGCCUUAAUGCUGUCCAGAAAUUUCGUAUCAUUUCCCAUCAAGAGUAUGUCAUCUACAUAUAAUAUGAGAAAUGCUACAGAUCUCCCACUCACUUUCUUGUAAACGCAGGCUUCUCCAUAAGUCUGCAUAAACCCAAACGCUUUGAUCAUCUCAUCAAAGCGAAUGUUCCAACUCCGAGAUGCUUGCACCAGUCCAUAAAUGGAUCGCUGGAGCUUGCAUACUUUGUUAGCGUUCUGAGGAUCGACAAAACCUUCCGGCUGCAUCAUAUACAGCUCUUCCUUAAGAUGUCCGUUAAGGAAUGCCGUUUUGACGUCCAUCUGCCAUAUCUCAUAAUCAUAGUAUGCGGCAAUUGCUAACAUGAUUCGGACGGACUUCAGCUUCGCUACGGGAGAGAAUGUCUCGUCGUAGUCAAUCCCUUGAACUUGUCGAUAACCCUUAGCGACAAGUCGAGCUUUAUAGAUGGUAACAUUACCAUCCGCGUCCGUCUUCUUCUUAUAAAUCCAUUUAUUUUCUAUCGCUUGCCGAUCAUCAGGCAAGUCUGUCAAAGUCCAUACUUUGUUUUCAUACAUGGAUUCUAUCUCGGAUUUCAUGGCUUGAAGCCAUCUGUUGGAUUCCGGGCCCGCCAUCGCUUCUUCAUAGUUCGAAGGUUCAUUGUUGUCUAACAACAUGAUUUCCAUGACAGGGUUGCCGUACCACUCUGGUGCGGAACGUGUCCUCGUGGACCUUCGAAGUUCAGUAGUAACUUGAUCCGAAGUACCUUGAUCAUCAUCAUUGUUUGCCUCUUCAGUUGGUGUGGGCAUCAUAGGAACGGUUUCCUGCGCUGCACCACUUUCCCGUUCGAGAGGUAGUACUUCAUCAAGUUCUACUUUCCUCCCACUUACUUCUUUCGAGAGAAACUCUUUUUCCAGAAAGCAUCCGUUCUUGGCAACAAAGAUCUUGCCUUCGGAUCUUAAGUAGAAGGUAUACCCGACAGUUUCCUUAGGGUAUCCUAUGAAUACGCAUUUUUCCGACUUGGGUUAGAGCUUUUCAGGUUGAAGUUUCUUGACAUAAGCAUCGCAUCCCCAAACUUUUAGAAACGACAGCUUAGGUUUCUUCCCAAACCAUAAUUCAUACGGUGUCGUCUCAACGGAUUUAGACGGUGCCCUAUUUAAAGUGAAUGUAGCUGACUCUAGAGAGUAUCCCCAAAAUGAUAGCGGUAAAUCGGUAAGAGACAUCAUAGACCGCACCAUAUCCAAUAGAGUGCGGUUACGAUGUUCGGACACACCGUUUCGCUGAGGUGUUCCAGGCGGCGUGAGUUGUGAAACGAUUCCACAUUUUCUUAAGUGUGUACCAAAUUCGUGACUUAAGUAUUCUCCUCCACGAUCUGAUCGUAAGAACUUUAUCUUUCGGUCACGUUGAUUCUCUACCUCACUCUGAAAUUCCUUGAACUUUUCAAAGGUCUCAGACUUGUGUUUCAUUUAGUAUACAUACCCAUAUCUACUUAAGUCAUCAGUGAGAGUGAGAACAUAACGAUAUCCUCCGCGAGCCUCAACGCUCAUUGGACUGCACACAUCGGUAUGUAUGAUUUCCAACAAGUUGGUUGCUCGCUCCAUUGUUCCGGAGAACGGAGUCUUGGUCAUUUUGCCUAAGAGGCAUGGUUCGCAUGUGUCAAACGAUUCAUAAUCAAGAGACUCUAAAAGUCCAUCAGCAUGGAGCUUCUUCAUGCGCUUGACACCAAUGUGACCAAGGCGGCAGUGCCACAAGUAUGUGGGACUAUCGUUAUCAACUUUACAUCUUUUGGCAUCCACACUAUGAACAUGUAUAACAUUACGCUCGAGAUUCAUUAAGAAUAAACCAUUGACCAUCGGAGCAUGACCAUAAAACAUAUCUCUCAUAUAAAUCGAACAACCAUUAUUCUCAGACUUAAAUGAGUAGCCAUCUCGUAUUAAACGAGAUCCAGAUACAAUGUUCAUGCUCAAACAUGGCACUAAAUAACAAUUAUUAAGAUUCAAAACUAAUCCCGUAGGUAAAUGUAGAGGCAGCGUGCCGACGGCGAUCACAUCGACCCUGGAACCAUUCCCGACGCGCAUCGUCACCUCGUCCUUCGCCAGUCUCCGUUUAUUCCGCAGCUCCUGCUGUGAGUUACAAAUAUGAGCAACGGCACCGGUAUCAAAUACCCAGGAGUUACUACGAGUACUGGUAAGGUACACAUCAAUUACAUGUAUAUCAAAUAUACCUUUGGUGUUGCCGGCCUUCUUAUCCGCUAAGUAUUUGGGGCAGUUCCGCUUCCAGUGACCCUUCCCCUUGCAAUAAAAGCACUCAGUCUCAGGCUUGGGUCCAUUCUUUGACUUCUUCCCGGCAACAAGCUUACCGGGCGCGGCAACAUCUUUGCCGUCCUUCUUGAAGUUCUUCUUACCCUUGCCCUUCUUGAACUUAGUGGUCUUAUUGACCAUCAACACUUGAUGUUCUUUCUUGAUUUCAGCCUCUGCUGACUUCAGCAUCGAGAACACUUCAGGAAUGGUCUUUACCAUCCCCUGCAUGUUGUAGUUCAUCACAAAGCUCUUGUAGCUUGGUGGGAGCGACUGGAGGAUUCUGUCAAUGACCGCCUCAUCUGGGAGGUUAAUGUUCAGCUGGGUCAUACGGUUGUGCAACCCAGACAUCUUCAGGAUGUGUUCACUGACAGAACUGUUUUCCUCCAUCUUACAACUGUAGAACUUGUCGGAGACAUCAUAUCUCUCGACCCAGGCAUGAGCUUGCAAAACUAGUUUCAGCUCUUCGAACAUCUCAUAUGCUCCGUGAUGCUCAAAACGCUUUUGGAGCCCCGAUUCUAAGCUGUAAAGCAUGCCGCACUGAACGAGGGAGUAAUCAUCAGCACGAGCUUGCCAAGCGUUCAUAACGUCUUGGUUCUCUGGGACGGGAGCGUCACCUAGCGGUCCUUCUAGGACAUAUUGCUUUCUGGCAGCUAUGAGGAUGAUCCUCAGGUUCCGGACCCAGUCCGUAUAGUUGCUGCCAUCAUCUUUCAGCUUGGUUUUCUCUAGGAACGCGUUGAAGUUCAUGUUGACAUUAGCGUUGGCCAUUGAUCUACAAGACAUAUUUGCAAAGGUUUUAGACUAAGUUCAUGAUAAUAAAGUUCUAAUCAAAAUUAUGAACUCCCACUUAGAUUAGACAUCCCUCUAGUCAUCUAAGUGUUACACGAUCCGAGUCGACUAGCCCGUGUCCGAUCAUCAUGUGAGACGGACUAGUCAUCGUCGGUGAACAUCUUCAUGUUGAUCGUAUCUUCCAUACGACUCGUGUUCGACCUUUCGGUCUCCGUGUUCUGAGGCCAUGUCUGCACAUGCUAGGCUCGUCAAGUUAACCCUAAGUGUUUUCACCGUGUAAAAUUGUCUUACACCCGUUGUAUGUGAACGUAAGAAUCCAUCACACCCGAUCAUCACAUGGUGCUUAGAAGCGACGAACUGUAGCAACGGUGCACAGUUAGGGGAGAACACUUCUUGAAAUUUUGUAAGGGAUCAUCUUAUUUACUACAGUCGUCCUAAGUAAACAAGAUGCAUAAACAUAAUAAACAUCACAUGCAAUUAUAUAGUUGUGACAUGAUAUGGCCAAUAUCAUAAAGCUCCAUUGAUCUCCAUCUUCGGGGCUCCAUGAUCAUCUUGUCACCGGCUUGACACCAUGAUCUCCAUCAUCAUGAUCUCCAUCAUCGUGUCUUCAUGAAGUUGUCACGCCAACGACUACUUCUACUUCUAUGACUAACGCGUUUAGUAAUGAAGUAAAGUAGUUUACAUGGCGUUCUUCAAUGACACGCAGGUCAUACAAAAAAUAAAGACAACUCCUAUGGCUCCUGCCGGUUGUCAUACUCAUCGACAUGAAAGUCGUGAAUCCUAUUACAAGAACAUGAUCUCAUACAUCACAAUUCAUCAUUCAUCACAACUUCUGGCCAUAUCACAUCACAUGAUCAAUCGCUGCAAAAACAAGUUAGACGUCCUCUAAUUGUUGUUGCAUCUUUUACGUGGCUGCGAUUGGGUUCUAGCAAGAACGUUUUCUUACCUACGAAAACACCACAACGUGAUUUUGUCAACUUCUAUUUACCCUUCAUAAGGGCCCUGUUCAUCGAAUCCGCUCCAACUAAAGUGGGAGAGACAGACACCCGCCAGCCACCUUAUGCAACUAGUGCAUGUCAAUCGGUGGAACCGGUCUCACGUAAGCAUACGUGUAAGGUUGGUCCGGGCCGCUUCAUCCCACAAUACCGUUGAAGCAAGAAAAGACUAGUAGAGGCAAGUAAGUUGACAAGAUCAACGCCCACAACAAAUUGUGUUCUACUCGUGCAUUAGAGAACUACGCAUAGACCUCGCUCAUGAUGCCACUGAUGGGGAACGUUGCAGAAAAUUAAAAUUUUUCCUACGACUUCACCAAGAUCCAUCUAUGAGUUCAUCUAAGCAACGAGUCUAGGGAGAGAGUUUGCAUCUACAUACCACUUGUAGAUCGCGUGCGGAAGCUUGCAAGGUGAUGAUGGAGUCGUACUCGAAUGUGAUUCAGAUCACCGAUGUCCAAGUGCUGAACGGACAACACCUCCGCGUUCAACACACGUACGGAACGAGCGACGUCUCCUCUGUCUUGAUCCAGCAAGGAGGAAGGAGAGGUUGAGGAAGACAGCUCCACCGGCAGCACGACGGCGUGGUGAUGGUGGAGAAGCAGUACUCCGACAGGGCUUCGCCGAGCGCACAACGGAGGAGGAGAGGUGUUGGGGAGGGGAGGGCUGCGCCUUGGCUUUGGUGUGGCUGCCCUCCCCUCACCCCUCUAUUUAUAGGGGGAAGGGAGAAGGGGGUCGGCCCCUCUAGAUCCCAUCUAGAGGGGGGCGGCGGCCAAGGGGAGGGGGGACUUGCCCCCCAAGCAAGGGGGGCGCCCCCUCUAGGGUUCCCCCCUCAACCCUAGGCGCAAGGGCCCAGGGGAGGGGGUGCGCCAAGCCCACCAGGGGCUGGUCACCUCCCCACGCAGCCCAAGUGGCCCCCCGGGAGGGGUGGCCCCUCCCGGUGGACCCCCGGAACCCUUCCGGUGGCCCCGGCACAAUACCGGUAUGCCCCCGAAACUUUCCGGUGUCCCUUUCACAACUUCCCAUAUAUAAAUCUUUACCUCCGGACCCUUCUGGAACUCCUCGUGACGUCCGGGAUCUCAUCCGGGACUCCGAACAACAUUCGGUAGUCACAUACUAGUCUUCCUAAUAACCCUAGCGUCACCGAACCUUAAGUGUGUAGACCCUACGGGUUCGGGAGACACGCAGACAUGACCGAGACGACUCUCAGGCAAUAACCAACAGCGGGGUCUGGAUACCCAUGUUGGCUCCCACAUGCUCCUCGAUGAUUUCAUUGGUUGAACCACGAUGUCGAGGAUUCGAUCAAAACCCUGUAUGCAAUUCCCUUUGUCAAUCGGUACGUUACUUGCCCGAGACUCGAUCGUCGGUAUCCCAAUACCUUGUUCAGUCUCGUUACCGGCAAGUCACUUUACUCGUACCAUAAUGCAUGAUCCCGUGGCCAACACCUUGGUCACCUUGAGCUCAUUAUGAUGAUGCAUUACCGAGUGGGCCCAGAGAUACCUCUCCGUCAUACGGAGUGACAAAUCCCAGUCUCGAUCCGUGUCAACCCAAGAGAUACUUUCGGAGAUACCUGUAAUGCACCUUUAUAGUCACCCAGUUACGUUGUGACGUUUGAUACACCCAAGGCACUCCUACGGUAACCAGGAGUUACACGAUCUCAUGGUCGAAGGAAGUGAUACUUGACAUUGGCAAAGCUUCUAGCAAACGAACUAUACGAUCUUUUAUGCUAUGCUUAGGAUUGGGUCUUGUCCAUCACAUCAUUCUCCUAAUGAUGUGAUCCCGUUAUCAACGACAUCCAAUGUCCAUAGUCAGGAAACCAUGACUAUCUGUUGAUCACAACGAGCUAGUCUACUAGAGGCUCACCAGGGACAUUUGUGGUCUAAGUGUUCACACGUGUAUUACGAUUUCCGGAUAAUACAGUUAUAGCAUGAACAAAAAGACAAUUAUCAUGAACAUUGAAAUAUAAUAAUACUUUUAUUAUUGCCUCUAGGGCAUAUUUCCAACAGGUGGUGGCGCCAUUUUUCCUAAAGCAAUAUGAGCAAAGGAUUAACGAUCAACUAAAUCAAAAUGUUCUGAGUCAACUAAAUCAACUAGCCUACUAAAUCAACUAAAUCAAAAUGUUCUAAAUCAACUAAAUCAACUAGCCUACUAAAUCAACUAAAUCAAAAUGUUCUAAGUCAACUAAAUCAACUAGCCUACUAAAUCAACUAAAUCAUAUCAACUAAAUCAAAAUGUUGAAUAUGAACUAGCCUACUAAAUCAACUAAAUCAAAAUGUUCUAAGUCAACUAAAUCAACUAGCCUACUAAAUCAACUAAAUNNNNNNNNNNNNNNNNNNNNNNNNNNNNNNNNNNNNNNNNNNNNNNNNNNNNNNNNNNNNNNNNNNNNNNNNNNNNNNNNNNNNNNNNNNNNNNNNNNNNNNNNNNNNNNNNNNNNNNNNNNNNNNNNNNNNNNNNNNNNNNNNNNNNNNNNNNNNNNNNNNNNNNNNNNNNNNNNNNNNNNNNNNNNNNNNNNNNNNNNNNNNNNNNNNNNNNNNNNNNNNNNNNNNNNNNNNNNNNNNNNNNNNNNNNNNNNNNNNNNNNNNNNNNNNNNNNNNNNNNNNNNNNNNNNNNNNNNNNNNNNNNNNNNNNNNNNNNNNNNNNNNNNNNNNNUAAAUCAAAAUGUUCUAAAUCAACUAAAUCAACUAGCCUACUAUAUCAACUAAAUCAAAAUGUUCUAAAUCAACUAAAUGAACUAGCCUACUAAAUCAACUAAAUCAAAAUGUUCUAAGUCAACUAAAUCAACUAAACGAACUAGCCUACUAAAUCAACUAAAUCAAAAUGUUCUAAGUCAACUAAAUCAACUAGCCUACUAAAUCAACUAAAUCAUAUCAACUAAAUCAAAAUGUUACAUAUGAACUAGCCUACUAAAUCAAAAUGUAGCGGGCAGGAGGGAGAAGGAGGGGCGACUCGAGGAGGGAGAAGAGAGUAGGAUGGAGGAGGAAGGCAGAGCAAGGAGGGGCCGGCCGGCGCGGCCAGUGGAGGGAGGACGAAGGAGGAAGGCGGAGCGAGGAGGGGCCGGCCAGCAGCGAGAGGAGAGGGAGGACGGAGGAGGAGGCCGGUACCGAGUCCAGCAAGGAGGAGGAGAUGACGGCGGCGCAGAUGGAGGAGGGGCGACGGGGGUGGACCGGCGCGGGGGAUUGAGAGGGGAUCCAGUGAGUGUGUGAAUGUGUGAGUGGAUCGGAUAGAGGAGAUGGGGGCGGGAGAUGAAUGGCUUAGCAGUAGCACGCUGUAGGAAAAGACGCUACUGCUAGCUAUCUAGCAGUAGUGCCUUUCACAAUAAAGCGCUACUGCUAUGUGUUGGCAUGUAAAAAUAGACUUUGUUCAAUAUAUCAAAAAUACAUUGAUCAUCAACGAUCUUUUUGUGUACAAUCUAAUUUGUCAAUAUGAGUCCUCACCGGUUUAGGAACAGGUGAAGACUCAUAUUGCAGCCACAAAUUCUACACAUAGAGUUCAAUGAAGACCAAGUGCUUGUCAAAGUUUGAGAAGUAACAUAUUUAAGGUGGUAGAAACUCUCUUCGCGAGCGAGGUGGGACUAAAUUUUUGUAGUAAACUUAGCAGUAGCGCUUAUUGGAGAAAUGCGCUGCUACUAUGCUACGUAGCAGUAGCGCCCGUCGUUAUAACGCGUUGCUGCUAUAACUAGCCUCACGGCGGCCUCGUGGGAAUUAUAGCAGUAGCGCGUCUUUGAGCGGGCGCGCUACUGCUAUAUUUGUUUCAGCAGCGAGUUACUCCUGAGCACGCUGCUGCUAAUUAGCAGCAGCGCCUUAUUUUAAAGCGGGCUGCUGAUAAGAUUCUGUGUAUAGGCUUUUCCCUAGUAGUGUUAGCAAUCGCUACUUUCCUUUUAUAAGCAAACAUUGUGUUUGUAUAUGGCAAAUCAACACUGAAUUUCAGUCUCUCCAAAUGAACUGGCUUUUGUUCAGGGAAGUGUACGUACAUGCUAAUCUAAUCUCAGAUUUCCACUGUACUUGUCAUGUAUCACAGAUGUUUGGUAGCUGGAAUGAUAAAAAAGAGAUGACAAGAAUAUAUCCUGGUAAUAUAUCAGUUCCAUUGGAUUGGUGGAUGUUCUGUUCAGAGUUAUUUCCUUUAACUCUAUCAUCACAGUAUAGAGACCUAUCAUCACAGCGUUAUAAAGCAUAGAGACCUAUCAUCAGUUCAUCACAGUGCUAUAGAACCUUAUGCAUGGGGCCAAAUCGGAUGCCAUAUCGAGGAAAGGCGUAAAUAUCAACCGGAAAGAUGCUUUUGAUCUCUUUUAUCUACUGGAAUCAAAUACUUCCACAUUUCAUGAAGCACAUUUUAGUAUUUAUUAGUGGUAACCAUCCCUGAACAAUGAACCAACUUUAGCAUCCUGAGUAUUGGUUAACCUGAUAAUAGGUAUCCCAUUAGGUUGUCCAUGUCAACCAUGCCUGCCAGCACUAAUUAUCAUCAUUAACUACUGACAAGGAUCCCAAGUUGUCUACUUAGCACUAAUUUCACCGGUGACUGGUGAGCAGAUAUGUCCUGAUGGUCACAUUUGAUACUAAAGAUGCUUCCCAAUGCCAUGCUUAAGUCACACAUACAUACACUGGUAGCCACACCAUCUUUUCCACAGUUUAGAUUAACAAAUUCAAUCUCAUGUGUGUUUGAAGUUUGAAGAAUGCUCGUCCCUUUAUUUUUUUUGUACUCGCUCUAUUUGUUCCAUUGUAGUAAUCAAAUCAUGUUUAUAGAUCUAAUUGAUCAAUGCUUUGGUAUGGAGUCUGGUCAUACCUGAGCACUGUUUAUCAGUAUUCACCCUACUCUCCAAGGUAUCACUAUCAGCAAAAUUUGAAGUGUUAGUCCAAAUACUUUGAUUUUUCUUUAUCCACUUCCAUCACUGUUGUAUCAAAAAGAAAAACUGAAUUUGAGAUUGUUCUUCAAUGGUCGGUAAUUUUCAUACUCUCAAACUUUGAAGGUCUUAAUUAUGUAGACGGAGUCCUCUUUAUUUUUCGCUUUAAAUUUAUUGAUAGUUUGUUCCCAAUGGAAGCAUGGAUUGCAUUGCCCUACACAGAGAGUGUUGGGGAACAUAGUAACUUCAAAAAAUUUCCUAUGCACACGCAAGAUCAUGGUGAUGCAUAGCAACGAGAGGGGAGAAUGUUGUCCAUGUACCGUCGUAGAGCGAAAGCGGAAGCGUUAGCACAAUGUGGUUGAUGUAGUCGUACGUCUUCAUGAUCUGACCGAUCAAGUACUGAACGUACGGAACCUCCGAGUUCAGCACACGUUCAGCCCGAUGACGCCCACGAACUCCGGUCCAGCAGAGCUUUGCGGGAGAGUUCCGUCAGCACGACGGCAUGAUGAUGGUGAUGAUGAUGCGACGAUAUUACACGGAUAAGAGAUCAAGAGAUCAAUUGUUGUGUCUAGAGGUGCCCUCCUGCCCCCGUAUAUAAAGGAGCAGGGGGGAGGCCGGCCAGCGUUUUGGGGCGCGCCGAGGAGGGGGGAGCCUCCUCCUAGUAGGAGUAGGACUCCCCUUUCCUAGUCCAACUAGGAAGAGGGAAGGGGGAAGGAAAGAGAGGGAAAGAGGAGAAGGAAAAAGGGGGCGUGCGCCCCCUCCCCUAGUCCAAUUCGGACCCCUCAUGGUAGGGGGCGUGCCACCUCCUGGGCUGUUGCCCUCUCUCUCCCCUAAAGCCCACUAAGGCCCAAUAUUCCCCCGGGGGGUUCCGGUAACCCCUCCGGCACUCCAGUUUUCUUCGAAACUACCCGAAACACUUCUGGUGUCCGAAUAUAGUCGUCCAAUAUAUCGAUCUUUAUGUCUCGACCAUUUCGAGACUCCUCGUCAUGUCCAUGAUCAUAUCCAGGACUCCGAACUAUCUUCGGUACAUCAAAACACAAAAACUCAUAAUACCGAUCGUCACCAAACUUUAAGCAUGCGGACCCUAUGGGUUCGAGAACUAUGUAGACAUGACCGAGACACGUCUCCGGUCAAUAACCAAUAGCGGAACCUGGAUGCUCAUAUUGGCUCCUACAUAUUCUACGAAGAUCUUUAUCGGUCAAACCGCAUAACAACAUACAUUGUUCCCUUUGUCAUCGGUAUGUUACUUGCCCGAGAUUCGAUCAUCGGUAUCUCAAUACCUAGUUCAAUCUGGUUACCGGCAAGUCUCUUUACUCGUUCCAUAAUGCAUCAUCCCGCAACUAACUCAUUAGCCACAUUGCUUGCAAGGCUUAUAGUGAUGUGCAUUACCGAGAGGGCCCAGAGAUACCUCUCCGAUAAUCAGAGUGAUAAAUCCUAAUCUCGAAAUAUGCCAACUCAACAAGUACCUUCGGAGACACCUGUAGAGCACCUUUAUAAUCACCCAGUUACGUUGUGACAUUUGGUAGCACACAAAGUGUUCCUCCGGUAAAUGGGAGUUGCAUAAUCUCAUAGUCAUAGGAACAUAUAUAAGUCAUGAAGAAAGCAAUAGAAACAUACUAAAGGAUCAAGUGCUAAGCUAACAGAAUGGGUCAAGUCAAUCACAUCAUUCUCUAAUGAUGUGAUCUCGUUAAUCAAAUGACAACUCAUGUCUAUGGCUAGGACACUUAACCAUCUUUGAUUCAACGAGCUAGUCAAGUAGAGGCAUACUAGUGACACUAUGUUUGUCUAUGUAUUCACGCAUGUAUUACGUUUUCGGUUAAUAAAAUUCUAGCACGAACAAUAAACAUUUAUCAUGAAAUAAGGAAAUAGAUAAUAACCUUAUUAUUGCCUCUAGGGCAUAUUUCCUUCGGUCUCCCACUUGCACUAGAGUCAAUAAUCUAGUUCACAUCGCCAUGUGAUUUAACACCAAUAUUCACAUCUAUAUGUGAUUAAUACCCAUAGUUCACAUCGUCAUGUGAUCAACACCCAAAGGGUUUACUAGAGUCAAUAAUCUAGUUCACAUCGCUAUGCGAUUAACACCCAAAGAGUACUAAGGUAUGAUCAUGUUUUGCUCAUGAGAGAAGUUUAGUCAACGGGUCUGUCACAUUCAGAGCUGUAUGUAUUUUGCAAAUAUUCUAUGUCUACAAUGCUCUGCACAGAGCUACUCUAGCUAAUUGCUCCUACUUUCAAUAUGUAUCCAGAUUGAGACUUAGGGUCAUCUGGAUUGGUGUAAAAGCUUGCAUCAUUGUAACUUUUUACGACGAGCUCUUUUAUCACUUCCAUUAUUGAGAAAUAUUUCCUUAGUCCAUACUAAGGAUAUUUUUGACCGCUGUCCAGUGAUCUACUCCUAGAUCAAAAUUGUACUCCCUUGCCAAACUCAGAGCAAGGUAUACAAUAGGUCUUGGUACACAACAUAGCAUACUUUAUAGAACCUAUGACUGAGGCAUAGGGAGGGACUUUUCAUUCUUUCUAUUUUUUGCCAUGGUCGGGUUUUGAGUCUUACUCAACUUCACACCUUGCAACACAGGCAAGAACUCCUUCUUUGACUGUUCCAUUUUGAACUACUUCAAAAUCUUAUCAAGGUAUGUACUCAUUGAAAAAUCUUAUCAAGCGUCUUGAUCUAUCUCUAUAGAUCUUGAUGCUCAAUGUGUAAGAAGCUUCACCGAGGUCUUUCUUUGAAAAACUCUUAUUCAAGUAUCCUUUUAUGCUAUCUAUAAUUUAUAUAUCAUUUCCAAUCAACAAUAUGUCAUCUACAUAUAGUUUUAGAAAUGCUACAGAGCUCCCACUCACUUUCUUGUAAAUAUAGGCUUCUCCAAAAGUCUGUAUAAAACUAUAUGCUUUGAUCAACUCAUCAAAGCGUAUAUUCCAACUCCGAGAUGCUUGCACCAGUCCAUAGAUGGAUCACUCGAGCUUGCACACUUUGUUAGCACCUUUAGGAUUGACAAAACCUUCUGGUUGCAUCAUAUACAGCUCUUCUUUAAUAAAUCUAUUAAGGAAUGCAGUUUUUGACAUCCAUUUGUCAGAUUUCAUAAAAUGUGGCAAUUGCUAAUAUGAUUCGGACAGACUUAAGCAUCAAUACGAGUGAGAAAAUCUCAUUGUAUUCAACACCUUGAACUUGUCGAAAAAAAAUUUGCGACAAGUCGAGCUUUGUAGAUAGUAACACUACUAUCAGCAUCUGUCUUCCUCUUGAAGAUCCAUUUAUACAAUAUGGCUUGCCGAUCAUCGGGCAACUCCACUAAAUUCCACACUUCGUUCUCAUACAUGGAUCCCAUCUCAGAUUUCAUGGCCUUAAGUCAUUUCGUGGAAUCUGGGAUCAUCGUCGCUUCCUCAUAGUUCGUAGGUUCAUCAUGGUCUAGUAACAUGACUUCCAGAACAGGAUUACCGUACCACUCUGGUGCGGACUAUACUUUGGAAGACCUACGAGGUUCUGUAGUAACUUAAUCUGAAGUUCCAUGAUCAUCAUCAUUAGCUUCCUCACUAGUUGGUGUAGGAAUCACUGGAACUGAUUUCUGUGAUGAACUACUUUCCAAUUCGGGAGAAGGUACAAUUACCUUAUCAAGAUCUACUUUCCUCCCACUCACUACUUUCGAGAGAAACUCCUUCUCUAGAAAGGAUCCAUCUUAGCAACGAAUAUCUUGCCUUCGGAUCUGUGAUAGAAGGUGUACCCAACAGUUUCCUUUGGGUAUUCUAUGAAGACACACUUCUACGAUUUGGGUUCGAGCUUAUCAGGCUGAAACUUUUUCACAUAAUCAUUGCAGCCCCAAACUUUAAGAAACGACAACUUUGGUUUCUUGCCAACCCAUAGUUCAUAAGGCAUCGUCUCAACGGAUUUUGAUGGUGCCCUAUUUAAAGUGAAUGCAGUUGUCUCUAAUGCAUAACCCCAAAACGAUAGUGGUAAAUUGGUAAGACACAUCAUAGAUCGCACCAUAUCCAAUAAAGUGUGGUUACGACGUUCGGACACACCAUUACGCUAUGGUGUUCCAUGUGGCGUGAGCUGUGAGACUAUUCCACAUUGUUUUUAAAUGAAGGCCAAAUUCGUAACUCAAAUAAUCUCCUCUACGAUCAGAUUGUAGAAACUUUACUUUCUUGUUACGAUGAUUGUCCACUUCACUCUGAAAUUCUUUGAACUUUUCAAAUGUUUCAGACUUAUGCUCCAUUAAGUAGACAUAAUCAUAUCUGCUCAAAUCAUCUAUGAAGGUCAGAAAAAUAAUGAUACCCUCCACGAGCGUCAACACUCAUUGGACCGCAUACAUCGGUAUGUAUUAUUUCCAACAAGUCAGUAGCUCGUUCCAUUGUUCCGGAGAACGGAGUUUUAGUCAUCUUGCCCAAAAGGCACGGUUCACAAGCAUCAAAUGAUUCAUAAUCAAGUGAUUCCAAAAGUCCAUCUUUAUGAAGUUUCUUCAUGCGCUUUACACCAAUAUGACCCAAAUGGCAGUGCCACAAAUAUGUUGCACUAUCAUUAUCAACUUUGCAUCUUUUGGCAUCAAUAUUAUGAAUAUGUGUAUCACCAUGAUCAAGAUUCAAUAAACCAUCAACAUUGGGUGUAUGACCAUAGAAGGUUUUAUUCAUGUAAACAGAAUAACAAUUUAUUCUCUAUCUUAGAUGAAUAAUCGUAUGACAAUAAACAUGAUCUAAUCAUAUUUAUGCUCAAGACAAACACCAAAUAACACUUAUUUAGUUUCAACACUAAUCUCAAAAAUAUAGGGAGUGUUCGAUGAUGAUCAUAUCAAUCUUGGAACCACUUCCAACACACAUCAUCACUUCACUCUCAACUAGUCUAUGUUUAUUCUGUAACUCCUGUUUCGAGUUACUAAUCUUAGCAACCGAACAAGUAUCAAAUACCCAGGGGUUACUAUAAACACUAGUAAGGUACACAUCAAUAACCUGUAUAUCAAAUAUACCCUUGUUCACUUUGCCAUCCUUCUUUUCUACCAAAUAUUCAGGGCAUUUCCACUUCCAGUGACCAUUUCCUUUGUAGUAGAAGCACUUAGUUUCAGGCUUUGGUCCAGCUUUGGGCUUCUUCGCGGGAGUGACAACUUUCUUGCCAUUCUACUUGAAGUUCCCUUUCUUUCCCUUUGCCCUUUUCUUGAAACUAGUGGUCUUGUCAAUCAUCAACACUUCAUGCUCUUUCUUGAUUUCUACCUUCAUCGAUUUCAGCAUCACGAAGAGCUUGGGAAUCGUUUUCGUCAUCCCUUGCAUACUAUAGUUCAUCGCGAAGUUCUACUAACUUGGUGAUGGUGACUAGAGAACUCGGUCAAUCACUAUCUUAUCUGGAAGAUUAACUCCCGCUUGAUUCAAGAGAUUGUAGUACCCAGACAAUCUGAGCACAUGCUCACUAGUUGAGCAAUUCUCCUCCAUCUUUUAGCUAUAGAACUUGUUGGAGACUUCAUAUCUCUCAACUCGGUAUUUGCUUGAAAUAUUAACUUCAACUACUGGAACAUCUCAUAUGGUCCAUGACGUUCAAAACAUCUUUGAAGUCCCGAUUCUAAGCCGUUUAAGCAUGGUGCACUAAACUAUCAAGUAGUCAUCAUAUUGAGCUAGCCAAAGGUUCAUAACGUCUGCAUCUGCUCCUGCAAUUGGUCUGUCACCUAGCGGUGCAUCAAGGACAUAAUUCUUCUGUGCAGCAAUGAGGAUAAACCUCAGAUCGUGGACCCAAUCCGCAUCAUUUCUACUAUCAUCUUUCAACUUAGUUUUCUCUAAGAACACAUAUAAAACAUAGGGAAGCAACAACGCGAGCUAUCGAUCUACAACAUUUUUUGCAAAAUACUAUCAGGACUAAGUUCAUGAUAAAUUAAAGUUCAAUUAAUCAUAUUACUUAAGAACUCCCACUUAGAUAGACAUCCCUCUAAUCAUCUAAGUGAUCACGUGAUCCAAAUCAACUAAACCAUGUCCGAUCAUCACGUGAGAUGGAGUAGUUUUCAAUGGUGAACAUUACUAUGUUGAUCAUAUCUACUAUCACUAGUGCAGAACCGGCCUUUAGUGCCAGUUCAUAACGGCCUUUAGUGCCAGUUCGGCAACCGACACUAAAGAGUGGGGACUAAAGGUCCCCCCUUUAGUACCGGUUCGUCACGAACCGGCGCUAAAGUGUCACCACGUGGCAUGAGCCAGGCCCGGGUGCGUGUAGGACAUUAGUACCGGUUGGUAACACCUUACCAACCGGUACUAAAUGUUUGGGGGGGGGGGGUUUGGCUUUAUUUUCCAUUUAAUUCUUUUUUGUUUGCUGGUAUUUCAUGAUACUACAAAUUGUACACGUUAUGCAUAUAUAUAAAUAGAUUUUCUCGUACGUAGAACCGCAUAUAUAUAUAAAUAUAUAUCAUCGAAUGUCUCACAACCAACAUCAUUAAUUAUUCACACAUACACAUGUAUAUACAUAUACAAUUUCUCCUACAUGUUGCCUUGGUGCCUUCGGAGCACAAUGACAAGUGGUUCAUGGGGGCGGUAGCGGGUAAUAGUAUUCUCCUUUGGGAUCUAUGACCUGGUCGAGCAAAAAUCCGGCUAUUUCCUCUUGAAGUGCUAGUUUGCGGUCCGCUGGUAGGAGCUUAUCCCGCACCUCUCUGAACUGUUAAGAAGGAGAUCAAUAUGCAUGUGUAUUAGUUGUGUGACAAGAUAUCGAUAAUGGUGUGAAUAGUGUUCUGACAAACGUACCCAGUCCUGUCUUUGAGAUCUGCUCCUUUCGGACGCCAUCAUACGAAUGUUCUCGCAAACAUAGAAUGCACACAGAUCAUUCCCCGGUGCUUGCUUCAGGGCCUCUAUGAGAAUGGAAUUGAAUCAGAUAAUGAUUAAUCAAGCAUGAUAAUUAAUUAAUGGUAUUGAAACAAUAAUUAAAGAGAUGGUAGCUAGCUAGUACUACUUAAUAAAGAGAUGGUAGCAAACAAAAUUAAUAAAGGGGUCAUUAAAUAGUUCAUAUCAGGAAAUGACGAACUAAUAAUAGGCCAAGAUAUAGUUAAUAAAGAUUGAAAUUACCUGUUGACUAUCCCCUUCAUGAUGGUGUAGUCUUUAUCUUCUUUAAGUAGUAAGUCCAGUACUUCAACUGUUCCUUUGUCAACUUUAAUGUCUAACAAGAUCCAGUGGAAACUGCAUGCACACACGUUUGCAUGUCUUAAUUAAGCGGGCAUGUGCAUAAAAUUAAUCAACUAUCCUAAACCGUAUACACUUAAUUAUUAACAUCUAGCUAGCUAGUAAGCAAAAACAGAAUUUGUAUGACAAGACAGUGUGACUCACAGGAAGUUGUAAUGAAGUAGUAUAUCUUCAUUGGUAUUGAGGCGCUUCAAGAACUCUAGCAUGAUUUCCUCUACACUUGCUUGAGAAGUUGCAAGAUUCCAUGUGUACUCAUUAAUGGUAUUUGGGUCAAUGAACCCAAUGCCAUAGCGUCCAGAUUUUUUCAUUUCAUACAUCUUCAUCCUGCAUAUAAUACCACAGAAAAGAAUAUAGUGAGGAUAAUUACAUGUAAUGAUUGAUCAUAAAUUACAGAAAGAAAUCACUUACAGACAAUAGCAACUGACGAUAGAUUUGUCGAGUGCGUCUUGAUUGUACAACUGAAACAGUUCUGAAUACUCAACGCACAGAGCUUUCUCAUGGAAGUAAUGCUCCGCCUUGACAUUCACCAUGAGGGACUCUCGAUUGGAAAUAUUGGUAAUGGUCAUGUACCAUUGAUGCAAUUCAUACAUUCUUGUUGGGAGGUUCUUGACCUUGUCUGGCUCGACCAAAGCUUGGCCCUGGACAUAUUUCCGUUUGAUUUCGUCCUCUCUAAGCGGAGACAUGGGCUCAAUUUCGAGGAGUUGUCCAACAGAGAUCUUGAGCAUUUCAGCCUGCAUUAUAUGCUCCUCCGUUAUUACCACAUCGCCUAGCUGGGGAACGUUAAUGGUUUGCCCACAAUAAUAUUGGGUGCGCGGCCUCUUCUCAUGUGUUGUUGGCACAACAAGUGGGGGGAUCGAUUGCGCCGCCUGUUCAACCAGCUGGGGAACAGUUUUCCCGCAUUUUUUGCUCGCUGCUUGUUGGCUCGAGCUCAAGCUCGAGCUCGCUUCCUUCUGUAGUCGUGCUCGAUGUGACUUCCUGAUUUGGCGCUCAUAGUCUGAGUCAACAUGCUUGGGAGCUGGUGCUUUAGCCAUACGAAUGAAGUGGUCAAUCUUUUCCUCAGGCACUUUCUCCCUUGGCGGCGGUGCCGGUUUCGGUGCAAAAUGGGCGUCCACUUGGGCCUGCACUAUGGCUGUGUUUUGCUCCUUGGUCAUGUCGUAAGGCCUCUGAGGAAGAGGAGCGAGGCUUGGACCAUAUUUAUAUCGCUUGUGUCUGCCUGUACUUCCUGAACUACCUUGACUCAUACCGCUACGCACCAUAGCUGCGGCGUGUCUCUUCUGCAAUUGCUGAGACGGUGGAGACGGCUGACGUGGCUGAGUUGGAGCAGGAGAAGUGGCCUGACAAUGUGCCGGACUUGAAGCAGGAGGUGUGGCCUGAGACGGUGCCGGACUUGAAACCGGAGAAGUGGCCUGACGCUGUGCAGGACUUGAAACCGGAGGAGUCACCUCACGCAUUCGGGGACUUGGAGGAGGUGGCGGACUUCGAGGAGGAGUCGGCUCACGCGUUCGUGGACUUGGAGGAGCGGGAAUCUGCUGACUUGGUGGCAGACUUCAAGGAGGAGUCGGCAGACGACGCGGUGUCGGUGGACUUCGAAAGAUGAUGCAAUCCUUUCUCCAUGGGAUGAUACGAUGUAUGGCCUCUCCCAGUGUGCGCUCGUCUUCACCUCCAGUAAUGUCAAGUUGUAGCCCCGAAUAUGGGUCCACCACUUCAUCAACCAAGACACGAGCAUAGCCCUCUAGAAUCGGGAUGCAAUGGAAGGUUGCUUCGGGGGUAAUUGUAAAAGCAACGCCGUCCGCCACCUUCAUGGAUAUGUUCUUCAUUUUGGAGUGUAGCUCACAGUUAGUGUUCUCUAUGAUGUCAUCCACAGGGUAUGUAUCCAGCAGUGUGUCGCCCGGGGCAGAACCAACGCUGCUUCUCGGCAUGGAUGGGACGGUGCUAUCCAAUGCUGGAUGAUCAUCCGCUUGCUGUUGCCGCUGCUGAGACCCCCUUUCCUGGCUAAGUGAGUAGAUCUGCUACUGCUACUGCUGGAAUUUGAGUGCCAAGUCCGCGUGCCUUGCUUCUAGGCCUUGAAGGCGUUCUGCGUCCUGCUUCCUCUGCUCAUCCUCCAGCUUCCUCUUCUUCUCCUCCUCCAUCUUCUUUCUUGCAUGGGUCCUGUACUCCUCGUUCCAUUCUGAAAAGCCCUCAUACCAGGGAAUAACGCCCUUGCCUCGUGUUCUUCCCGGGUGUUUAGGAUUUCCCAGGGCGCGUGUAAGCUCGUCAUUCUCUCUGUUGGGCGUGAACACCCCCCUUCGAGCUUCUUCUAUUGCGUCAAGUAUCUUUUGUUCGGCUCCUUUUAGAUUUGCCUUCUGCGAAACCAGGCCUGUCUUCGGGUCCAACUCCCCCCCCCCCCCAUGCGCAUAGAACCAAGUUCUGCACCUGGGGGGACAGCUCCUAGUAACCGGAGUGACCCCUGCAUCCUCCAUCUCUUGCUCAGACUUAUCCCACUUAGGCAUUCCCACCGCGUAGCCACCUGGACCUAGACUAUGGAACUGCGUCUUUUUUGCGGCAUUUGCCUUGUUUAUUAUCGGUUGUUCCUUAGAUAAUUCUGAAUCCUUGAAGGUCACAAAAUCGUCCCAGUGUUUUCUUUGCUUCUCCAGUGUUCCCGUGAAUUCUGGAGUCUUCCUUUCUGCAGCGAGGUAGUUGGCCCAUACAGUUUUCUUGUGGGUGUUGAAUGCAAUUGCCAUCUUCUUAAGAGCAGCGCCCUUGACUUUCUCCACAUCUGCUUUAGUGAAAUGAUCUGGUAGGGUGAAAUGUUCCAUCAGAUCCCAAAGGUCUUUUUUGGCUCUGUCGUCGACCCAAGUAACACCUGGACGUUUAGUCUUUGGCUCUUUCCAUUCUUGAAUGGAGAUCGGGAGUUUGUCCUUUACAAGAACUUCGCACUUAAGAGUCCACUUGUUCGCAAUGUUCUUAGGCGUGAGGGGUUCGCCACUAGGUUUGGUGGAUUCGAUGUUGUACUUUACACCAUCCUUCAACAAUCUGCCUGGGCCUUGCUUUGUCUUGCUAUCUGUAGAAGCAGAUUUGCUCGAUCUGGAGGGCUGAAAGAAGAAAGAUCGAUUCAUUAAUAUAUCUUCAAUAAAAAAACAUGUGAUGAUCACCAUGAUGCCUGCUUAUAUAAAUAUACCUCGCCGGUAGUCUUUGUUAUUUGAAGAUCAGCAAUGUCUGUGUCAUCAUAAACAUUGUCUGUGUCAUCAUAAUCAUAAUCAUAGUUCAUGACUUCAUCAGCUCGGUCGUCGAGAUCGAAUAUCUUUUCAUCACCCUCUCCGGUAUUGUUCAGAUAUUGGGAGCCGUCAUCUGCUUCAUUCAGAUCAUCUAGCCUGUGAGGGCUGCGUAUGAUGUCGAACAAUUCCUCCUCUCUCUCUCUCUCUGCCGGUAUUGUCCGCCAUAGCUUUUACUUAACUAAUACAGAAGAAAUAUAAAACAAUUUAGUAUUCAAAUUACAAUGCAUGGAUUCAAUCAAUAAGGAAAAACUGAAUCAUCAUCUUUAUAUAUAUAAUCUCGAAUACAUCAUCUUCUUAAUAUACAUAAUCUCGAAUACAUCGUCUCGAAUAUUAUAUAUUGAAUACAUCACUGGCUAGGUACCUAAUAAAGAUCGAGUACUAUAGAAGAAUCUAGGCCACUCGCGGUUCCUGGAGCGCGGGCGAUGGACACCCAAAGAGAAGGAACCAUCACAGGAUCAUAUCUCCAGUCAUCUGCCCAAAGAACCUGCCAAGUAUUGGAGAACCUGACGUCCAUAGCAGCCAUGUAGCGAUGCAUGUGCUCGUCCUCCUCUCUGACAUGGCGACGCACCACCUCCGGCAGCGCCGGCUCCCUCUGCACCGAAUGUGGCCCACGUGAACGCCACCAAAGUACAUCAGGGUCGACGACGGGACCCGAGGUCGGGUUCCUCACCAAGCGGCGCGCCCCUCCAGGUAGCACCUCCCAGUGCCAGCCCGGCGGAGCCCAGUCCCGGACAUGGGUCCUCUGAAGGAGGACGUCGUCGCGAACGGGUCGACGGUGAGGAUGCGGGCCGGGCAUAUCAUCGAGAACAAAUACUAUAUGCCCGCAAAAAGUAACAUUUUUUAUAUCAUUGGAUUGUGAUAACUAAAAUUCUAUAUAUAUGCAAAUUCUAACAAUUUGACAUUAAUCUAUUUCAUCUAAUUAACUAAAACUAAUUCUAAAAUUUCUAACAUUUCUGAUUAUAUAACUAACAUUUCUAUAACAUUUCUAAUAUUUAUAACAUUUAUAACAUUUCUAUAUAACUAACAUUUCUAUAACUAAAAAACAGAAGAAAAAAAUAUAACAUUUCUAUAUAACUAACAUUUCUAAUAAUAUUUCUAUAACUACAAAACAGAAUAAUUUCUAACAUUUCUAUAACUAAAAAACAGAAAAAAAUUCUAUAACUAUAAUUCUAUAAUGUGUGUGUAGUGUGUGUGUNNNNNNNNNNNNNNNNNNNNNNNNNNNNNNNNNNNNNNNNNNNNNNNNNNNNNNNNNNNNNNNNNNNNNNNNNNNNNNNNNNNNNNNNNNNNNNNNNNNNNNNNNNNNNNNNNNNNNNNNNNNNNNNNNNNNNNNNNNNNNNNNNNNNNNNNNNNNNNNNNNNNNNNNNNNNNNNNNNNNNNNNNNNNNNNNNNNNNNNNNNNNNNNNNNNNNNNNNNNNNNNNNNNNNNNNNNNNNNNNNNNNNNNNNNNNNNNNNNNNNNNNNNNNNNNNNNNNNNNNNNNNNNNNNGGGGCGACGGGACGAGGCGGCGACGACGGGAUGGGCCGGCGAUGACGGGGCGGGGCGCGGCGAUGGGGCGGGGCGCGGCGACGGGGACGACGGGUACGGGGACGGCUGGGGGAUGACGAGGGGCGGGGACGGCCGGGGCGGCGACGGCGUCGAUCAGGGAAGGCGGCGCGUGUCGUUGACGGAGAGAAGAAACAGAGAGGGAAAAUGAAUUUUUUGCAAGUGUUGUAUAUAUAGGAUGGACCUUUAGUACCGGUUGGAGCCAACAACCGGUACUAAAGGUCUGUUUUGGCCAGGCCAAGCGGCGGGAAGCACCCCUCCUUUAGUACCGGGUCGUAGCACCAACCGAUACUAAAGACCCCCUCUUUAGUACCGGUUGCAGCCACCACCCGUUACUAAAGGGGGUGCGCUGGCGCAGUGCUGUGCGGCAAUUUUAGUCCCACCUGCUAGUCGAGGGGCUACCGCACUAGUUUAUAAGCCCCAGUGCGGUAGCUCUCUCGAGCUCCUCUCCUAAGCAGGCCUACUGGGCCUACCUGUUCUGUGCUGCCCUGUGGGCCUACUGGGCCUUUGCGGGCCUGCAUCCUGGCCCAAUAAAAGGUUGUGUUUCUAGUCGUAUGCAGGCCGCUUUGGCCUAGUAGGCGGGUUUUUUUUGUUUUCUUAAUUUUUUUGCUUUAUUUAUUUUUUAGUUGUUUUUUGCUAUAUUUAGAGUUUCUUUGUGAAUAUUUUUGCUUUAGGUGCAAAAAAUUACAAACUUUCGGUUAGUGCCGGUAGUUUUCAAAUUUGAAUAUUUUAAAUUUUGAAUUAUUUGAAAUUUGUGUGAAUCACUAGUUUGUGAAUAACUUAACUUUGAAAAAAGAUUUUUCAGUGAUUAUUUUUACUUACGCUUAAUAUUAGUGUGUUUUAUCAUUAUAUUCAAUUUGGUAAUGCUUAGGUUAUGUAAAAAAUGAAAUGCCUUUGUAAUAGAUGAGUAUUCGUCCGAAACCCUGAUACUUCAAAAGAGAUUGUCCAUUUUGUACAGGAAGUGCAUCCAGUUUUUGCCGUAACCCUCUCUAAUUUUUUGCACAUGCUGUGUGGGUGAAAUUAUGAUACCAUGCCAACUUUCAACCUUUUCUGAGCUCAUUUGAAAUGCUUUUCCAUUUCAGGGUCAUUUAGCUGGAAAAAAUAAGUAAAUGCAUGAAAGAAUUUGUUUGCACAUAAAAUUUCUUCGCGUUUCAAAUGCCAAAACACAUAACUACCCUAACUAUUACAGAGAUUCCCUCCUGGGUGUGAAACACACAAGAAAGUGAUGAUAGUGAAGCCGAUCACAUCCCAGAUCUUUGGGUGUGAAACUUUUUCUUCGCGUGUGUCCCUUUGCGCCGUAGCCAUGGAAAAUCUUCAUCAUUUAACUGGAUGCUCGGGUCAAUAUUCACUGUGAAUGGAGCAAUUUCAUCAAAAUUUUCAUAAUCUUCUGACAUGUCUGUCUUGUCAUCCACUCCCAUGAUGUUUCUUUUCCCUGAAAGAACUAUGUGGCGCUUUGGCUCGUCGUAUGAUCCAUUUGCUUCCUUAUCUUUUCUUUUUCUUGACCUGGUAGACAUGUCUUUCACAUAAAAAACCUGCGCCAGAUCAUUGGCUAGGACGAAUGGUUCAUCUGCAUAUGCAAGAUUGUUGAGAUCCACUGUUGUCAUUCCGUACUGCGGGUCUCCCGUUACCCCGCCUCAUGUCAUAUUGACCCAUUUGCACCGAAACAAAGGGACCUUCAAACCACCUCUAUAGUUAAGUUCCCCUAUAUCCUCUAUGUAACCAUAAUAUGUUUCCUUUACCGUGUUGGUUGUUGCAUCAAAGCGGACACCACUGUAUUGGUUGGUGCUCUUCUUAUCUUGGGCGAUCGUGUAAAAUGUAUUCCCAUUUAUCUGGUACCCUUUGAAAGUCAUUAUAUUUGAAGAUGGUAACUGGGACAGCGAGUACAGGUCAUUUUGAAUAUCGCCAUCAUUCAUGGCACGUUUCUGCAACCAACCGGCAAAAGUCCUCAUUUGUUCACGUGUAAUCCAGUCAUCAGACUUCUCCGGGUGUUUGGAGUGUAGAAAAUUCUUGUGUUAUCCUCCAUAUACGGAGCCACCAAGGCGGAAUUCUAUAGAACUGUGUAGUGUGCUUCAGUGAGAGAAUGCCCGUCCAUACAUAUUAUUUGAUGCCCUCCUAGUGUGCCUUUUCCAUCCAGUCUACCCUUAUGCCGCGAUUCAGGAACACCAAUCGGCUUAAGGACAGGAAUAAAGUCAAUACAAAACUCAAUGACCUCCUCAUUUUCAUGGCCCUUCGAGAUGCUUCCUUCUGGCCUAGCACGGUUAUGAACAUAUUUCUUCAAGACUCCCAUGAACCUCUCAAAGGGGAACAUAUUGUGUAGAAAUACAGGACCCAAAACGUUAAUCUCUUCGCAAAGGUGAACUAGGACGUGCGUCAUGAUGUUGAAGAAGGAUGGUGGGAACACCAACUCGAAACUGACAAGACAUUGCACCAAAUCAUUCUGUAACCUUGGUAUGAUUUCUGGAUCGAUUACCUUCUGAGAGAUUGCAUUGAGGAAUGCACAUAGCUUCACAAUGGCUGAUCGAACGUUUUCCGGUAGAAGCCCCCUCAAUGCAACCGGAAGGAGUUGCGUCAUAAUCACGUGGGAGUCAUGAGACUUUAGGUUCUGGAACUUUUUCUCUGCCAUAUUUAUUAUUCCCUUUAUAUUCAACGCACGGUACCUUCAUGCUGAGCAGGCAUUCAAAGAAGAUUUCCUUCUCUUCUUUGGUAAGAGCGUAGCUGGCCUGACCCUGAUGUAUGCCGUCUUUUCCGUGCAUACGUUGCUGGUCCUCCCGUGCCUCUGGUGUAUCUUUUGUCCUCCCAUACACGCCCAAAAAGCCAAGCAUGGUCACGCAAAGAUUCUUCGUCACAUGCAUCACGUCGAUUGCGGAGCGGACCUCUAGGUAUUUCCAAUAUGGCAGGUCCCAAAAUAUAGAUUUCUUCUUCCACAUGGGUGCGCGUCCGUCAGCGUCCUUCGGAACAGGUUGUCCGCCAGGACCCUUUCCAAAGAUUACCUUCAAAUCCUUGACCAUAUCAUGUACAUCAGCACCAGUACGGUGGCGAGGCUUCGUCCGGUGAUCUGCCUUACCUUUAAAAUGCUUGCCUUUCUUUCUUACGGGAUACCUGCUCGGAAGAAAUUGACGAUGUCCCAGGUACACAUUCUUCCUACAACUAUCCAAAUAUAUACUGUCGGUAUCAUCCAAACAGUGCGUGCAUCCGCGGUAUCCCUUGUUUGUCUGUCCUGAAAGGUUACUGAGAGCAGGCCAAUCAUUGAUGGUCAUGAAUAGCAACGCCUUUAGGUCAAAUUCUUCAUGUCUGUGCUCAUCCCACGCAUGUACACCUAUUCCAUUCCACAGCUGUAAUAGUUCUUCAACUAAUGGCCUUAGGUACACAUCAAUGUCGUUGCCGGGUUGCUUAGGGCCUUGGAUGAGCACUAGCAUCAUAAUGAACUUCCGCUUCAUGCACAACCAAGGAGGAAGGUUAUACAAACAUAGAGUCACAGGCCAGGUGCUAUGGUUGCUCUCUGCUCCGCAAAAGGAUUAAUGCCAUCUGCGCUUAGACCAAACCAUACGUUCCUUGGGUCACCUGCAAACUCCUCCCAGUACUUUCUCUCGAUUUUUCUCCACUGCAAACCGUCAGCGGGUACUCUCAACUUUCCGUCUUUCUUACGGUCUUCUCCGUGCCACCGCAUCGCCUUCGCAUGCUCUUUGUUUUGGAACAAACGUUUCAACCAUGGUAUUAUAGGAGCAUACCACAUCACCUUGGCAGGAAUCUUCUUCCUGGGGCGCUCGCCCUCGACAUCACCAGGGUCAUCGCGACUGAUCUUAUAACGUAAUGCACCGCAUACCGGGCAAGCGUUCAAAUCCUCAUACUCACCACGGUAGAGGAUACAGUCAUUAGGGCAUGCAUGUAUCUUUUACACAUCUAAUCCUAGAGGGAAGACAACCUUCUUUGCCUCAUACGUACUCUCGGGCAAUUCGUUGUCCUUUGGAAGCAUAUUCUUUAUCAUUACCAGCAACUUUCCAAAUCCCUUGUCAGAUACACCAUUCUCUGCCUUCCAUUGCAGCAAUUCCAGUGUGGUGCCCAACUUUUUUUUCUCAGCUUCGCAAUUCGGGUACAACAAUUUCUUGUGAUCCUCUAACAUGCGCUGCAACUUCUUCUUCUCCAAAUCACUUGUGCAGUUUCUCUUUGCAUCGGCAAUGGCCCGACCUAGAUCAUCAGCGGGCUCAUCUGAUGCCUCUUCUUCAGCUUCUUCGCGCAUUGCCGGCUCAACUUCUUCCCCUAUUGUUGUAUCAUCGUAUUCAGGGAACCCAUGGCCAGGAUAGCCGUCCUCGUCCUCUUCUUCUUCAUUGUCUUCCAUCAUAACCCCUAUUUCUCCGUGCUUGGUCCAAACAUUAUAGUGGUGCAUGAAACCGGACUCAAAUAGGUGGACGUGAAUGGUUCUUGACGUAGAGUAAUUGUGACCAUUCUUACAGCCAGCACAUGGACAAGGCAUAAAACCAUCCGCCCGCUUGUUUGCCUCAGUGGCAAGCAGAAAAGUAUGCACGCCAUUAAAGAACACGGGAGAGCAUCGGUCAUCAUACAUCCAUUGUCGGCUCAUCUUCAUUACACAACACCGAAUAGACCAAAUUAAUACAAGUUCAUACAUAAAGUUCAUAUACAACACUUAAUUAAAUGCAACAUACAAAUAACUCUCUAGCUAAAGAAUUUAAAUGCAACAACAAAUGUGAUCAAGAUCGCAACUAAGGUAACAAUUGAUCCAACAGCAUAAUAAUACCAAGCCACACUAUCAAUGGCAUAUUUUCUAAUCUUUCUAAUCUUCAACCUCAUUUUCUCCAUCUUGAUCUUGUGAUCAUCGACGACAUCGGCAACAUGCAACUCCAAUUCCAUCUUCCCCCCCCCCUCAAUUCUUUUCAAUUUUUCUUUCAAAUACUCGUUUUCUCUUUCAACUAAAUUUAACCUCUCGAUAAUAGGGUCGGUUGGAAUUUCCCGUUCACAUACCUCCUAGAUAAAAAUAUCUAUGUCAACUUGAUGGGCAUAAUUUGUCAUAAACACGAAAUGCAACAACUAGUUUUAAAAGAGAAUAUACCACAUCCGAAUCAUAACAAGGACGAGGGCCGACGGGGACGGAUAUCAAAACCAUGGCACUAUGUAUAACAAACAACGUACGGGUAAGAUAAUUAUACGAGUAACUAUAUAUCCAAAUCACACAAAUAUCAAUUUGGUAAUGUAAAACAUUCAUGAACAAGAGCCUCACCACAAGGUGGUGCCGGCGACAGGACGGUGCGGGCGAUCGACGGUGGUUACGACGGAGAUUUAGAAUGCACUAAGUAAACCACACCUACAUAUGCAAACUAAGUGUUAUUUUUGACCUCAAAUUGCAUAUAAAUCAAAUACUAGCACAUAUAAUUCCUCCCAAAUUACUAAACUCACAAAUUAAUCACUAUACAAAGCAUUGCAAGAGCUAAUCUAGCAAUGAGAGAUGAAAGGACAAAGUUGCUAACCUUUGUGAUCAUUUGAAUGGAUGGGGGCCUUCAAAUCUUGACAAAUUUUGGGAAAAAUUUAUGAUGAGCUCGAGGAAGAGAGGGGAAUAACAGAGGAAGUGACGGGAAGGGGAAGAACAGAGCAAGCUCGGGUGGACGAAGGGUUUAUGUACGACGACCUUUAGUACCGGUUUGUGCCACGAACCGGUAUUAAAGGUGCUGGAGGGGCCCCAGACUGACAACAUCCUGCCACCACUCUCUUUAGUACCGGUUCGUGGCACGAACCGGUGCUAAAAGUUCGCCACGAACCGGAGCUAAAGAGAGCGGCCGGCUAGCCGUUGGAACCGGCACAAAUGGACACAUUAGUGCCGGCUCAAAAUCAAACCGACACUAAUGUGUCUCAAAUUUGCCCCUUUUUCUACUAGUGUAUAUGAUUCACGCUCGACCUUUCGGUCGCAGUGUUCCGAGGACAUAUCUGUAUAUGCUAGGCUUGUCGAGUUUAACCUGAGUAUUUUGCGUGUGUAAAACUGUCUUACACCCGUUGUAUUUGAACGUAGAGCUUAUCACACCCGAUCAUCAUGUGGUAUCUCAGCACAAAGAACUUUCGCAACGGUGCAUACUCAGGGAGAACACUUAUACCUUGAAAUUUAGUGAGAGAUCAUCCUAUAAUGCUACCGUCAAUCAAAGCAAAAUAAGAUGCAUAAAGGAUAAACCUCACAUGCAAUCAAUAUAAGUGAUAUGAUAUGGCCAUCAUCAUCUUGUGCUUGUGAUCUCCAUCUCUGAAGCACCAUCAUGAUCACCAUCGUCACCGGCGUGACACCUUGAUCUCCAUCCUAGCAUCGUUGUCGUCUCGCCAACUAUUGCUUCUACGACUAUCGCUACCGCUUAGUGAUAAAGUAAAGCAAUUACAGGGCGAUUGCAUUGCAUACAAUAAAGCGACAACCAUAUGGCUCUUGCCAGUUGCCGAUAACUCUGUUACAAAACAUGAUCAUCUCAUACAAUAAAAUUUAGAAUCAUGUCUUGACCAUAUCACAUCACAACAUGCCCUGCAAAAACAAGUUAGAUGUCCUCUACUUUGUUGUUGCAAGUUUUAUGUGGCUGCUACGGGCUCAGCAAGAACCGUUCUUACCUACGCAUCAAAACCACAACGAUAUUUCGUCAAGUUAGUGUUGUUUUAACCUUCUCAAGGACCGGGCGUAGCCACACUCGGUUCAACUAAAGUUGGAGAAACUGACACCCGCCAGCCACCUAUGUGCAAAGCACACGUCCGUAGAACUAGUCUCGCGUAAGCGUACGCGUAAUGUCGGUCCGGGCCGCUUCAUUCAACAAUACUGCUGAACCAAAGUAUGACAUGCUGGUAAGCAGUAUGACUUGUAUCGCCCACAACUCACUUGUGUUCUACUCGUGCAUAUAACACCUACGCAUAAACCAGGCUCGGAUGCCACUGUUGGGGAACAUAGUAAUUUCAAAAAAAAAACCUACGCACACGCAAGAUCAUGGUGAUGCAUAGCAACGAGAGGGGAGAGUGUUGUCCACGUACCCUCGUAGACCGAAAGGGGAAGCAUUAGCAGAACGCGGUUGAUGUAGUCGUACGUCUUCACGAUCCGACCUAUCAAGUACCGAACAUACGACACCUCCGAGUUCAGCACACGUUCAGCUCGAUGACGUCCCACGAACUCCGAUCUAGCAGAGCUUUGCAGGAGAGUUCUGUCAGCACGGCGGCGUGAUGACAGUGAUGAUGAUGCUACCGACGUAGGGCUUCGCCUAAGCACUGCUACGAUAUUACCGAGUUGUAAUAUGGUGGAGGGGGGCACCGCACACGGCUAAGAGAUCAAGAGAUCAAUUGUUGUGUCUAGAGGUGCCCCCUUGCCCCCGUAUAUAAAGGAGCAAGGUGGGAGGCCGGCCAGCCCUUUGGGGCGCGCCAAGGAGGGGGAGUCCUCCUCCUAGUAGGAGUAGGACUCCCCUUUCCUAGUCCAACUAGGAAGAGGGAAGGAGGAAGAAAAGAGAGGGAAAGAGGAGAAGGAAAAGGGGGGGUGUGCCCCCUUCCCUAGUCCAAUUAGGACCCCUCAUGGGAGGGGGCGCGCCACCUCCUGGGCUGCUGCCCCCACUCUCCCCUUAAUCCCACUAAGGCCCAAUACUCCCCCGGGGGGUUCCGGUAACCCCUCUGGCACUCCGAUUUUCUCCAAAACUACCCGGAACACUUUCGCUGUCCAAAUAUAGUCGUCCAAUAUAUCGAUCUUUAUGUCUUAACCAUUUCAAGACUCCUCGUCAUGUCCGUGAUCAUAUCCGGGACUCCGAACCAUCUUCGUUACAUCAAAACACAAAAACUAAUAAUACCAAUCGUCACCAAACUUUAACCGUGCGGACCCUACUGGUUCGAGAACUACGUAGACAUGACCGAGACACGUCUCCGGUCAAUAACCAAUAGCGGAACCUGGAUGCUCAUAUUGGCUCCUACAUAUUCUACGAAGAUCUUUAUUGGUCAAACCGCAUAACAACAUACGUUGUUCCCUUUGUCAUCGGUAUGUUACUUGCCCGAGAUUCGAUCAUCGGUAUCUCAAUACCUAGUUGAAAGUGCAACUAAUCCCCGGGUGGUUUUGGUAAUUAAUAACAACAUAUAUAUCAUUGAACUAAUAGUUUCUUGAGAACAUUUCAGAAAGUUCAGUGAUAUGGGUAUGGCAAUGACUGAAGAAGUGGACCCCUCAAAAUGCUAAGGAAAACAUUGGCAAAAGCUCAAGACUCCAUUUUUGGUUUAGUGAUCCAAGAUCACAUUGAGUCUAUAGGAAAGCCAAUACUAUUAAAAGGGGAUGAGGUUAUGAUAAUGAUCUGGUUGCUCAAAGUGCUUAGUGAUCUAUCUCCCAAACUAUCAGCAAUCUUUCAUUCCAACAUAUACUCAUAAGUAAUCUCGGUCCCACUGAUUCCAUAAACUCAGUCACACCGAGAUGAACCACCUCAGCCACAAAGCCAAACCCUAGUAAUUUCGGUUUUUCCGAUUCCAAACUCGGUCUCACCGAAACUAGUGUUGCCAACCUUCUGUAACCUUCUGUCAUCAUAUCAGUGUCACCGAGAUGAUAAAGUCGGUCCCACCGAGAAUGGCAAACCCUAGUCUUUGGAAGAAUCGGACUCACCGAGAUUGUAUUUUCGGUCCCACCGAAAAUCCCAACGUUCACAAGAUUUGAACUUUCGGUCCCACCGAGUUGUCAACUUCGGUCUGACCGAGAUUGGUCAAAUGUGUGUAACGGUUGGAUUUUGUGUGGAGGCUAUAAAUACCCCUCCACCUCCUCUUCAUUCGUGGAGAGAGCCAUCAGAAAGAACUACCACUCCUACCUUACAUUUCUGAGAAGAAAACUACCUACCCUUGUGCUGAGAUCAAGUUGCUCCACUCCCACCAUAUGAAACUUGAUUUCUAGCCUUCCCAAGUUGCUUUCCACUCAAUCCUUUCUUCCACCACAGCCAAAUCAGUGAGGAGAGUUGAGUGUUGGGGAGAUUAUCAUUUGAAGCACAAGAGCAAGGAGUUCAUCAUCACCAACACCAUCUAUUACCUUUUGGAGGGUGGUGCCUCCUAGAUUGGUUAGGUGUCGCUUGGGAGCCUCCGUCAAGAUGUGGAGUUGAACCAAGAAGUUUGUAAGGGCAAGGAGAUCGCCUACUUCGUGAAGAUCUACCCCGAGUAAGGCUAGUCCUCCGUGGGCGUAUGCCAUGAUGGCAUAGACAAGGUUGCUUCUUCGUGGACCCUUCGUGGGUGGAGCCCUCCGUGGACUCUCGCAGCCGUUACCCUCCGUGGGUUGAAGUCUCCAUCAACGUGGAUUGACGAUAGCACCACCUAUCGGAACCACGAGAAAAAUCUCCGUGUCUCCAAACUGCGUUUGCUCUUCUCCACCUCUAUUUACUACAUGUGCAAUUUACUUUCCGCUGCCAUAACUCUAGAAUUGCAUGUGUAGGGUGAUACUUGACUUGAUCAUCAUUAUGAACUUGCCAAAAACUUGUCUUAAUCAAAAGGCUAAACUUUUAAAUUGUCAAGUAGUCUAAUCACCCCCCCUCUAGACAUACUUUCGAUCCUACAAGUGGUAUCAGAGCCAGGUUUCCAUUGGAUUGGUUUCCAUUGCAUUGGACUCCAUAAGCUUGGUUUCACAACCUAGGAGAGUAUGGCGUCUAGUGAGGGUAAUUUUCGUAGAGGUCCUUACUUUGAUGGUUCAAACUUUGCUAGUUGGAAGCAUAAAAUGAAAAUGCAUAUUCUUGGACAUAACCCUGCCGCAUGGGGCAUUAUUUGUGUUGGCUUGCAAGGUGAGUUCUUCGAGGAAGGAAAAGUUCCGGAUCGUGAAGCUACAGCGGAUGAAUUGCGGAUGUUGCAAAAUAAUGCUCAAGCUUGUGACAUUCUCUUCAAUGCUUUGUGUCCCGAGGAGUUCAACAAAAUCAGCCGUCUUGAGAAUGCAAAAGAGAUUUGGGAUACUUUGGUCGAAAUGCACGAAGGUAUCGAGUCCGUGAAGGAAUCAAAGCUAGAUGUUCUUCAAGGUCAACUUGACAAGUUCAAGAUGAAGGAAGGUGAAGGAGUCGCUGAAAUGUACUCUAGGCUUGCUCUCAUCACAAAUGAGAUUGCCGGCUUAGGAAGCGAAGAAAUGACCGACCGAUUCAUCAUCAAGAAGAUUCUCGGAGCUUUGGAUGGAAAGUAUGCACUUUGAUCCAAAUGAUGCCAAACUACAAGAAUCUCAAGCCUACCGAAGUCAUUGGAAGAAUUGUUGCUCAUGAAAUGACACUUAAAGAUAAGGAAGAGCUUCACAACAAGUCAAGUGGUGCUUACAAAGCUACAUGUGAAGCUCCCACAACCUCAAGUGACAAGCUAGUUUCCAAUGAAGAGAUAAGCCUAAUGGUGAAGAACUUCAACAAAUUCUACAAGAGCAGAAGCAAGGAAAGAAGCUCAAAGUCUAGAUCAUAUGAUGAAAAGAGAUCUUCUAGUCGUGAUCGAAACUGCUACAAUUGUGGAAGACCCGGACACUACUCAAAUGAGUGUUCGACUCCCCACAAGAGAAGAGAAGAAUCUCCAAGAAGAAGAAGCUCAAGAGAAGAGUCGCCUCGGAAAGAGAGAAGGAGUAGAGAUGAUCGUUAUGAACGAAGAUCCUCUCGGAGAAGCAAGGAUUCGGAGAGGAAAGACAAGUCAUCAAGGAGCUACACAAGAAGAAAACAUCAAGCUCACGUAGGUGAAUGGGUCUCCGGCUCCGACUCCGACAAUCACUCCGAAAGAAGCUAUCACUCCAACUCCGAAUACAGUCAAGAUGAAGGUGUUACCGGACUUGCUCUCGUAUCCUCCAACUUCAACUCCUAUGACAUAUUUGAUUCACCAAAUGAGGGAAUUGGAAGAUGCUUCAUGGCUAAAGGCCCCAAGGUAUCACAUCCUGAAUUCAUUGACUUUGAUAGUGAUGAGGAUGACUUGCUUGGUGAAGAUGAGCUUUUACAUGAUAAAUCUAGUGAGCCUAGUAAUGAUGAACAUGCUAGUAGUCUUUAUAGUCGAGAAGAGUCGAAUGACAAUGCUAUGAAGGAGAUUGAGCGUCUAACUAAAGAACUAAACACUCUUAAGUUAGCUCAUGAAACAACUCAAGAAGAUCAUAGAGAGCUCCUAAGAUCUCAUGAGAAGCUACGCUUCGAGAAGCUCAAUCUAGAGCAAGAACAUGAGUUCCUAAAAGCUAUCAAUGACGAUCUUCGAAAGAAGAGUUCUUCAUAUCUUGCCAAACGACUUCUCUUGUCUAAUUUCUUGCCACCCAUUAAACCUAAGCAUGACAAGCAUAAGAAAAAUUCUUCAUCUAGUAGUAACAAUAACCAUGCUAAAUCCAAUGUUGUUACUUCUAGUAGUUCUCUUGAUUCCACUAACAAUGUUUCAAGCCAAGUUACACUUGAGCAAGAAAAUAGUUUAUUGAAAGGGAUUAUAGAGAAAGGUGUCUACAAGUGCCUUGCCGGAAGCACGAACUUUGAGGAAAUUGUUCGCAAGCAAGGAAGGCAUCGGAAGAAUCAAGGAAUUGGUUUUGAGCGAAAGUUCAACGCCGAGGGUGUUGAAUGGGAAGAAGGUCAAUAUCCCACUCCAAAGUUUGUUUCUCAAAAGGAGAAGUAUGAUCCUACUUCUUCCAAUGAGGAACAAGCUCAAGAUGACCUUCCACCACAAGACCACAAGCUAAAAGGUAAGGACAAGCUUCAAGAGGAGAUUGAUGCAUUUAUUGAAGCACCUAAGGCCAUGGUCAAGUGGGUUCCCAAGGAAACGUCAAGUUCUACUUCGUCAAGCUCAACUACAACCCCAAGGAUUCCCAUCAAGAUGAUGUGGAUCCCGAAGAAGAAGAACUAGAGAGUUCUUGAGGGUGACUCCGCCAACAUACUUCACUCACAUUCAUUUUGGCAAGAACUUGUGCAAUCAACUUCCACAUCUUGCACUAGUUCAUGGAGUCACAAACCCUCUUGUUGGUAAGUCAAGGGACAAGGUAAUCAUUGCUUUCAUGGACAUCAUCUAUUGUAUACUUCAAUCUAUGUCCAUGGAUAUCUUUGUUUGUUCCUUGUGGGACUAACCCAUGUAGGUAUUGAAAGUGCCCGAAUCCAAAGGAUUGCUCCCAACUCUUGAUGAUCUUCAUCAACAUUGAGCAUCCACAUCUUCAACAUCUACAUGAAGUCUUCUACGACAACCCAAGGUUAGUUUGACCCUUUAAAAGGGGUUCUCACAUCAAGGGGGAGCUUUGCUCUAAAGAAAUGAGCUAAAGCAUCUUCAAAUGAUGUGAACACACUAAUGCUUUAUGUAAAAGUGGUAACCCCACUUGUGCUUAAACGAUGAGUAUGACCUAUGAUCAAAUGUUCUCAUUUGACUCCUAAGUCAAUAUACUCAUAUAUAGAUGACCUAGUCAUCGACAAAAUGUGUGCUAGCAGCUAGUGUUUUGUUUGUGCAUGUUUGACACAUAUUUCAUUUGCUAUCUUAUUGUGUGAGCAUGUUGGAUGCAUGAUUUUAUCCAUUCGAGGACAUCCAUUUGUUGCUAUGGUCUUUUGGAUUUUUUCUUUUUGACCAAAUGGAUGGACAAGAAUGCCUAAGUUCCUCCCCUAGCUAUCUAUGCUCUCUUGUCUCAAACUCUAUUCAUGCUUAUAUCACAAACUUUGAACAAGUUUUUUCGGACACACCGAGUGAGGAGCACUCGGAGCCACCGAUCUGUCAAAAGCUUAAAUUCCAAAACCUUCUAAGUAUUUUCGGUCAGACCAACCCACUCAAAUCGGACAGACCGAAAUCACUUGGAUUGAUCUAGGUUUUCACCUCGGUGAAACCGAGUUGCAAAUUUCGGUGUGACCGAAGUGAGUAACUGCUUGCAGUUAACCAUCUCGGUGCCACCGAGUUUUACAACUCGGUCCCACCGACAGCUGAAGGGUAUAUAUACCUGAGGGCAGCGCGCGUUGAUUCUUUCUUCAAAACGUCUCGCCCCCAAACCCUUUGCUGCCGUCGCCGUGGUCUCCGGAUCGUCUCCGUCGUCGCCUGUGCGCCCUCGCCGCGGGUCUCCAUCGCCGUCAACGGUCAAUCUCUCCGUGUCGUUGCCGCCGUAGAGAAACUCCACCAAGUUAGGGUGAGUUUCGAUCCCUCUCGUGUUUCAACCUCCGAUUCAAUACACGAUUGGUUUGCCCAGCUUCUUGCCACGUUUGAGAUCUUCCUAUCCAGCAGAUUAGUUCUUAGAACGAAAUUCGAGUAAAAAAUUUAGGGUUAGGUUUCCGCCGAACACAUCUCGGUGAGACCGAUUCUACAUUCUCGGACUGACCGAUUUGGCCUCUGGCCAUUGCACUGCACUUUUCGGUCCAACCGAGUUGUGCAAAUCGGUACGACCGAAAUGAGGAUUUAGUGAAACCCUAGUGCUCUCCGCAAGACCGAAACCCAUUUCGGUCCAACCGAAAGUGGUGUGAAUGGUUCUGUUUAGACACUUCGGAUUCACCGAAUUUUAGACUCGGUCUGACCGAAAUGCAUUCUGUGAAAACCUAAAACUGAAAUUUGAACUUAUUCUUUUUGCAAAAAUCUUCUGCAGUUUGUGAUAACUCUUCUAUUCUGCCUAUACCUUAUCUAUUCACAGGUUGUCAGCCAUGUCAGAUGCAAGUGACAGCCAGAACAGGUCUGAAUCACCAAUUGAGAUUCCAGAGGCAGGCACUAGUCCUGAGGCCAGCAGCUUUUCUGAUGAUGGUGAGAGGAGCACACCAAGUGGUUUGCCUCCUGCUGCCACCAGGGCCAGGAAGAAGAGGAAUUCUGAUGAAGAGGAUUCUGAUUUCAUAGCUGAGGAAGAGAUCACAUCUAAGCCUAAGAGGAAAGUGGUUGCCAAAGAACAUCAAGGGCAACAAACCAAGAAAGGCACCAGCAAAGUGAAGAAGUCCACUGUUGCCAAGAAGUUGAGCAUGGAAGAAGAAACCUCGAGAAAGGUAAAGAAAACUUCCAAGAGGAAGAGGAUUGUGCAUGAUGAAGCAGCUGAUGAUGAUUCUGAUGAGGAAGCACCCCAGCCUCCUCAGAAGCCUAAGUUGAUGGGAGAUGCCAUCAGGGCAGGAGCACCUACAAAGUCUAAGCCUUCUGCUCCAGCAAAGGCAGCUCAAGCCAAGCCUGCUGCCAAGCCAAAGAAGACUGUCAGAAACAUUCCUGCUUCAGAGAAGAAGAAAGGACAAAGGUCUCAGGCUAUGGAGACAAGCUGAUCCAUAUGCCAUAAGGAGAAGGACUGCUGUUGACCCAAGGUUCCACACCAGAGAGUAGCAAGAUUUCUAUGAGACUGUGCUUAUGGACAAGAAGCCCAUUGUUGCUGACACUAGAUAUGUUGACUGGGCAUAUAUUGACAGUGAAGAGCACAGAGACUACUUUCCACAUGUGCAUGAGAGCUUCACUGCAUGUGGAGUUGCUGAGUUCGUUGGUCAGAAACUGACAGCUUGGAAUGAUGAGAUGAUCAUGCAAUUCUAUGCCACAGCUCAUUUCUAUCCAGAUGGCAGAAUUGUAUGGAUGACUGAAGGUCAGAGAUUCUCUUCAACUGUUGAAGAGUGGGCUGCACUGCUGAAUGCUCCAGUGUCAAGACAAGAUGAUGUUGAUGUCUAUGGAAUUCCCAAGAAAAAUCAUGAGUCUAUGAAGAACAUGUACAAUGAGGUACCAGCUAAGGAUGUAGAGUUCUGGAAGCUCGGCUCAGUGUAUCAUCUCCAGGCAGGUCUCCCUACCACGAACACAAUUCUGAGGCAUACCUUGAUGCCCAAGUCUGGAGAUCAUCGCAUGAUACGAGGCUAUUCUAUCAACAUGCUGCAUAUACUAGAUCAGAAGGCACCUUUCAAGGUGAUGGACCUGAUAGUUGAGACUAUCAAGAGGACUGCAGCAGACCAGAAGAGGUCAUGUGGUUUUGCCCCGCACAUUCAGAUGCUUAUCAAUGCCAAGUUUGGCACGGGCACCUACUUGUUGGAUAGACCCCACUUGCCACUGCAGCCUGAGCAUGAGGAUAAUGAAGUUGUGAUGACUGGGGAUGAUCCCACGUCUGUUGAAGGUCAAGCUAAGUCUGAAGCUGCCAAACAAGCUAAAGCUGAGAAGGAAGCAGCAGCAGCAGCUAAACCCAAGAGUGUUGGAGAACAGCUCCUUGAAGCUACCCAGAGGAUUGAACUACGCCUGGCCAGCAUAGUGCAGUCUCAGGAGAGUCUUGAGAGGAUAGUUGAAGACAAGUUCCAUGCUCUGGAUGUCAAGCUGACUGAAGUGCAAGUCACUGUCAACAAGCUUGAGGCAGAUAUCGAGGAAGCCAAGAGGGAGAAGGAAGAGCUCAUGAAGGAGAUGCAUGAUGACCUUGUCCAGGAUGACUAUGAACAGCCUGCUCCGGUUCCCACAAGACCCAGAUCAGCUGCUAUUCCAGUGACAGACACCAGGGCUACUGCAUCAGCACCUCCCACAGCUCCAUCAGUUCCAGCUCCAGCUCCAGUGUCCACUCCUCCAGCUCCACAGACUUCAGCCGAAGCCUUUGCAGAUGCAGCUAUCUCAACUCCAUCAACCCAGACAGGAGCCGCCAGCAGAGUCCCUAGUGACGUUUAGCUCUAUACCUUUCGAACUUUUUGGUAACUUGUUGCCAAAGGGGGAGAAAUUGUAUAGAUCAUAGGACUUCGAGAGAGAGAGUGCUCGCUUUUGCUCUUUCGUUUGCGGUUUCUUUGAGAUACUUUUGAGUUUUCCGAGACAUUCUGUGUGUUUGAUACUACGUUUGCUCUACCUUGAUGAGUGCUUGAUCAUACUAUGCCUUAAUGUGUGCUUAAUGCUUAUCAUAUGCUAUUCAUAUCUUGUAUGAUCAUUUACUCAUGUCUUGGUGAUUGGGUGCAUGUUACUCAUUCUUAUCAUUUUGUGCGCUCCACCAAGAUGUAUGUGACAUGGAAGAGUGACCCAUGAUCCUAAUCGAUUGUGCAUUUGCAUUCAAACGCAAAUCUUAAAUAAUGCACAAAUUUAGGGGGAGCUCUUGCUUAUCACAUACUUCUCAAAGCGACGAUAUUAUUCAUUGAUUAUAUCAUUUGUCGAAGCUUUGAUCUAUAUGUUGUCAUCAAUUACCAAAAAGGGGGAGAUUGAAAGUGCAACUAAUCCCCGGGUGGUUUUGGUAAUUAAUAACAACAUAUAUAUCAUUGAACUAAUAGUUUCUUGAGAACAUUUCAGAAAGUUCAGUGAUAUGGGUAUGGCAAUGACUGAAGAAGUGGACCCCUCAAAAUGCUAAGGAAAACAUUGGCAAAAGCUCAAGACUCCAUUUUUGGUUUAGUGAUCCAAGAUCACAUUGAGUCUAUAGGAAAGCCAAUACUAUUAAAAGGGGAUGAGGUUAUGAUAAUGAUCUGGUUGCUCAAAGUGCUUAGUGAUCUAUCUCCCAAACUAUCAGCAAUCUUUCAUUCCAACAUAUACUCAUAAGUAAUCUCGGUCCCACUGAUUCCAUAAACUCAGUCACACCGAGAUGAACCACCUCAGCCACAAAGCCAAACCCUAGUAAUUUCGGUUUUUCCGAUUCCAAACUCGGUCUCACCGAAACUAGUGUUGCCAACCUUCUGUAACCUUCUGUCAUCAUAUCGGUGUCAUCGAGAUGAUAAAGUCGGUCCCACCGAGAAUGGCAAACCCUAGUCUUUGGAAGAAUCGGACUCACCGAGAUUGUAUUUUCGGUCCCACCGAAAAUCCCAACGUUCACAAGAUUUGAACUUUCGGUCCCACCGAGUUGUCAACUUCGGUCUGACCGAGAUUGGUCAAAUGUGUGUAACGGUUGGAUUUUGUGUGGAGGCUAUAAAUACCCCUCCUCCUCCUCUUCAUUCGUGGAGAGAGCCAUCAGAAAUAACUACCACUCCUACCUUACAUUUCUGAGAAGAAAACUACCUACCCUUGUGCUAAGAUCAAGUUGCUCCACUCCCACCAUAUGAAACUUGAUUUCUAGCCUUCCCAAGUUGCUUUCCACUCAAUCCUUUCUUCCACCAUAGCCAAAUCAGUGAGGAGAGUUGAGUGUUGGGGAGAUUAUCAUUUGAAGCACAAGAGCAAGGAGUUCAUCAUCACCAACACCAUCUAUUACCUUUUGGAGGGUGGUGCCUCCUAGAUUGGUUAGGUGUCGCUUGGGAGCCUCCGUCAAGAUGUGGAGUUGAACCAAGAAGUUUGUAAGGGCAAGGAGAUCGCCUACUUCGUGAAGAUCUACCCUGAGUAAGGCUAGUCCUCCGUGGGCGUAUGCCAUGAUGGCAUAGACAAGGUUGCUUCUUCGUGGACCCUUCGUGGGUGGAGCCCUCCGUGGACUCUCGCAGCCGUUACCCUCCGUGGGUUGAAGUCUCCAUCAACGUGGAUUGACGAUAGCACCACCUAUCGGAACCACGAGAAAAAUCUCCGUGUCUCCAAACUGCGUUUGCUCUUCUCCACCUCUAUUUACUACAUGUGCAAUUUACUUUCCGCUGCCAUAACUCUAGAAUUGCAUGUGUAGGGUGAUACUUGACUUGAUCAUCAUUAUGAACUUGCCAAAAACUUGUCUUAAUCAAAAGGCUAAACUUUUAAAUUGUCAAGUAGUCUAAUCACCCCCCCUCUAGACAUACUU
rnacentral:lncRNA from 1 species